rnacentral:lncRNA from 1 species
GUUCAGCUACGGUGCAGAAGGAUGUUCAUUAUCAUUUGAUAUACCUCCAGAUUUCGAAGGCUUGGUCAUUUGGGCUGUCUGUUCAGGUGGUGGGCAUCAAGAAUUCAAGGCUAUUAUAAAAAAUAAAAGCAACAGUCCGAAGUUGAAAGCGAUAGAACGAUACCUUCGCCACCAUAUCAUCUGCUUCACCAUCCCCGUCAUGGUUCAAUGAGAUUUUCUACAAGGCAGCAGUGGAAAGCUUUUUUGAUUCGGGCGUUCAGCCUAUGGAAAACCAUAGUCAUGCAAAAAUUCUUACCUGAUGAUCUCAAUUAGUCGAGGGAUUGGUUUAAGAAAACUCCCCACUUUAUGCCCACUUAGCAAUGAUAUUAUCAUCUUGUUGUGUUAAAUCACUAAUUAAAUAAAUGUAGUAUUUUUUUAAGCUAGCAAAAUUAUUGGACUAAUGGGCUGUGGUUGUUUAAAAAAUCUUAUCCAACAAAAUCUUCAUGGGUGUUAAAUGCCAAUUGUUUCUAAUAUAUUUUUUUCUUGACUAUUUUAAGCAAUUGAGUAAUUAUCUAUAUAUAUUUUAAGAGACUACAGGAAAAGAUCGAGCUGCGAAAAAAUGAAUAUUUAUAUCAACUUGGUUUCCUCAUAAAAGACCAUACACGGAUCUUUUUAUCAACUUACAUAAAAAGUCUAAAUUGCAUAGAGUACUCUAACUAAGAAAUCCAAAAGAAAUAGGAACUUUAAAAUGAAAAGGGUGUCAAAGGAUUAUACCUCAACGACCCUCCUGAGCAUUGGUUAUCCUUCCAUUUCAACAAAAUCAAACUAGUACCAGAUUUGGUGGAAACAAACUAAAUUGAAUAAUUCAUCACUUAAUUUUAGAUAUUUUUAUGUUUUUUUUUUUAAAUAUUGUUAUACUUUCAUAAGUUUUAGAUAUUGUUUGUUAUACACCAUUAACCUCAACAAGAGAAUCAUUAAAGAAUUGUAGACUUUGUAUCAACUAAAACAAAUAAUAAAUCAAACAAUUCAAAGUUGAACCUUCUUUUUAAUUUUAAAGUCUUGUUUGUUGUUAGAUCAUAUCUUAGACAAGUUAUAAGAUUUUCUAUAGAUAAAUCAUAAUGUUGUAAACUUGUUUAAAAGACUAUGAUAUUUUGGUAUAGACACAUGGUGGAUCAGACUUUAGAAUAUUGUUUGUCACUCUUGUCCGUAAAAAUAUCUUUAUGAAAUAAAAAUUUUCAAAGUUUUGUUUCGUAAUAGAUAAUUUUUUAUUUGUUAGGAAGUGUUCAAGCAUGACUAUGUUUUCUUCAUAUAUGUAAUAUUGAUUAAAGAAAGAAUCCAUAGAUAUAAGCACUUGUAGGCUCAUGCAUUAGUGAGUAAACACAAGGAUAUGCAUUGAGGAAGAUAAUAAUUAAAAUUUUGGAAUUAUUGUAAAAUGGAUAGAUUUUACUUGAUUUUAGUUUGGUUUUAUUAUUUUAUUAUUUUAACUCAAUUUUGAAUGAUAAGUUAACUCAUGAUUUUAAUAUUCAUGCAUUUUCCUACACUUUUCAGAGCCCUUGCACUGCCUUGUCAAGAUUCAAAAAAGUCAAAAGAUUUUUUUAACAAAAAGAAAAAAAAAGAAAGCCUCCUGUUACAUUAUCAAACAGAAUAUACUAGUCACUAGCCCAAAAUCCCUUAUAACCUAUGAAUGAAUAAACAUUGAUUGAAAAUAUUUAUUUAUUUACUUGAAAUUAAUAUUUUUUGGUGUUUUUAAAUUAUUUUGAUGUGUUGAUGUCAAAAAUAAGUUUUUAAAAAAUAAAAAAUAUAUUAUUUUAAUGCAUUUCUGAACAAAAACACUUUAAAAAACAAUCACAAUCAUAUUUUAAAGCAUCCCCUUACACAAAUUAGCAUAUCAACGAACAAGAACAAUUUUUUUUUUUUAAAAAAAGGUGAACUUUUUGGUCCAACUAACAUGUUCUUUAAGUGCUAAAAACUACACCAAAAAGAGAAAUCACUUUCAUGUUGUAAAAGAAAGAAACGAAGAGCCCGUAAAACCUGAAGGAAGGAUCAUUGCACGCAAAAAUGAUUGGAAUGAAAUUGGGCUUUCUUCACGGCAGAAGUUUCUUUUUUCCCUCUGCCAAUCCAACCGGUUGAAAAGUACCAAUUUCAAAAACUCAUGCAUGUUUUUGAAAUUAAUGUUAACAUCGGAGGGGUUAAUAUCUAAUUUAUAUCAAAAUAAAUUAGAUAUUAACCCUUCCGAUUUAUAAUUCCAAAUAGAAAAAAUUUAAUGUUAAAACUAUUUUAUUUUAAAAUACCUAUCUUGUUUUUUAUGGAACUUUAAAGAAAUUAGAUGAAGGUGAUGAGGGUAAUAUAAAAUAUAAAAUGAAUUGAAUUCUAUUUAUUUCAAAUAUGUAAAUUUAAUUUAUUUAUAAAUUGAAUUCAAAUUUAAUAUUAUAAUUUAAUUUAAUUACGGUGGAAAAUUGAUUCCACACAAGCAGUUAAGAAAUCAUCUUAAAAAACAUCAUUAUUAUAGGUCCAACUUAAAAUUAAGUUAUAUAACUAAACACAUAUUAUACAAAACAACUCUAAGAAAUUAUGAGUUGUUAUUAAAUAAUCCAAAUUUGCUAGUGGACUGAGUAAGUAAACAUUGUAAAAUUAUACAACUUUACAAUAUUGUAAAAUCAAUAUUGUAAAAUUAAUAGUAAAAUCAUGAUUUUACCUGAUUUUAGACUAGUUUUAUUAUUUUUUGAUUUUAACUCAAUUUUAAACAAUAAAUAUAUAUUUACUCGUAAAAUUAUACAAGUUCACUCAUGAUUUUAAUACCUCCUAUAGAAGCGGCAACACACUCCUAGUGAGACUAGUACCAAAAAUGAUUACCUGACAUUCAACAUAGAAGAUUCUGCUACACAAUCAUUCGGGGUAUAUAAUGGUGGCUACUAUCCUUACAAGGUACACAAACCUAAAAGAGAUUUUUUUUUUCUAAUUUUGAUAGUGAUAAUAUGCAUAAAUGGUUAUAUAAAUAAAAUUAAUAUUUUGAUAUCAAGGAGAUUGUUGAGGUUGGAAAACUUAAGAUAGUCUCCUAUUACUUAGAUGACAUAACUUUGUAUUGACACUAUAAUUUCGUGAAGGGCAAGAAUGAUCAAUGCAUGUCUUAGAAUGAAUAUGUAGAGGCAAUAUGCUCUAGGUUUGGAGGUCAAAAGGAUCUAUUAGAAGAGUUUAAUGACCUCAGACAGAAUAAAGAAUUAGAGGGUUACAAUAAGGACUUUGAUAUACUUUGGAACAUGGCUGAAAUCAAUGAGAAAUAAGCUUUAAUAUUCUUUUUAUGAGGGUUUUUAGGUGGAGAUUAAGAAUUUAGUUAAGAUGUUGGAACCAAAAACUUUAAAUCAAGACUAUAACCUAGCACGUUUGCAAGAUAACAUCAUAGCCUACAGGAGAUCCUACCAUAAUUCCAGCAAACUUGUACCAACAAACACCAGCUGUGUUGCUUAAUCCAAACCCAUCCAAAACCAAAGAUCUUAUAAAAUUCCACAACCAUUAGCUGCCAUUAACCUUAAAUAGCCACAAAAUAGCUUACUACCAAACCCUAACCCAUACCCUCCGUACAAACCUAAUUUGAAGCCCACCAAAUUUGUAAAGAAUAAGAAGUUGGAUGGAAGGAGAGCUAAGGAAUUGUGUUUUUGGUGCGAUGAAAGGUUUGUGUCAAGCCAUAAAUGCAAAAUUAAAAAGUUGUACUAGUUGAUGGUGAUGAGCCUAGCUUUGAAUAAAUAGGUAAUUCCUCACAUUUCUAUCAAUGCACUGGAAGGAGUCAUUUGCUCCUCUGUAUAGUUGAAAGCCUCAUCAAAUCCAAACUUGUUCUUCAACAAGUCAACCUUAAGAUUGAUAAGAGAAAUUAAAAGCAAACACCAUACAGAAUCUGGUUACAGAUGUUUCUUUGCUUUCAUGUCAUCUACUUAAAUAUGUAGCAAUAAAUUGAAAGCUUGCAGGUUUACUUGCUGAACAGCAAUAACAGGACAAGACAGUUGUUUCACACGGUUAAUACUCAUGAUCGGCUGACCAACCUUUUCUUGGCUUCCAGCACUUCCAACAACAUAGCAACCCAAUAACUUGGCAAAUUGGCCAACAAGCUGACCUACUGCACCAGAAGCUGCUGAAACAAAGACAUACUCCCCUUUCUUUGGAGAGCAAAGCUCAUAAAAACCACAAUAUGCAGUCAUACCUGGCAUUCCUGCAACGUAUAAAUGUACUACAAUUAGAUAAACUUUUGACCAUCUAGGAAAGAAUGAUAAUUAUACGGGUGAGGAAUUAUUAGAUAUAAUUUUCAAUUUCAUUUACAAUGGACGUUUGAAUUAGAUGGACAAGGAAAGAAUCUCUUUCUUUUGUCACUCUUCAUCUUAAUUGUUAUUGCUGCAUGCUUCAUACGUCAGAAAAUGAAGAUUAUAUCUUGAAAGCUUCCUAGCAUGAAAUAUCAUAUCUGCUAAGGAUGCCGAAAACUAAGUGGAGCUCACAAUUACCAGCCAUGUAUUUUAGUAGCACCAAAGCUACCUAACUUAAAAAAGAUAAAAUUGAACAAAAAGGAUAAAAAGAAAACAAAAAAAAUUCUUGACUAGAAUUACAUAUAUCAACAGCCCUAUUCUAAAUUGUAUUGAUUGUUUUCUUGAAAAGUAUUCAAUGAAAUGCAAGAUAAGCAGAGUGACUGACGAACCAGGCUUGAAGGACUCAGCAUAAGAUCCUUCAAGUAUUAACAUUCUACCUCUCAUGGCUGAAUGCAUGACAAAUAAACAUUCUACCUCCGUAGUACUGCAUUCCGCAGCAAUCCUCAUGCAUCAACGAGUGACAAGUCGAAGUCUAAGAAGAAGUCUGAAUACAGGGUAUAGCAUGGCAGAAAUUUUUUUUUUUUUUUUUUGAUUUACGUGGGGUGUCCGGGCCAGCUUACGCGCACCACGACUAUUCCCCACGGCCCACUGGACAUCCUGCAAGCCCAGGAGCAGGUAAGGCACCGCGGGGGUGACAGGCGUGCACAUAGAGGGUCGAACCCGGGACGGGGGCGGAACAAGUCAUACUGUUGACCACAGCAGCUAGACCCUCAAGUGCGCAUGGCAGAACUUUUAAUUUGAUUGUUGGAUGCUUCCUUACCUACAAGGAUGGGAACAUGCCCAAAUUUGGUCUCGUUUUGGAAAUUUUUGUAUUUAUCUAGUAUUUUUGGAUUUCUUUUUUUAUUUUGUUCCUUUUCCUUUAAACCUGAGGUCGGUUUAAAGUACUGUUUAAACCGUUUGUAGCUUAUUUUCAGAGUAGAUUAAUUGUUAUUAUCAAAUUUAAAAUUUAUCAAAUCAGAGUUUGGGUCUAUGAUUGUUGCUGCUGCCGCUGCUGGAAUUUAAGUUGAUGGUUUCUUUUGAAUAGUUGCAUUUAAUUUAUGCUAAAGAAUAUGAUAAUAGAUCAGAGCCAAAAUUGUUUAGAAUAUGAUAAUAGUUGCUGUAGUUGGAUGUUAGUUGGCAAGUCUUUUCGUUUGAAUUUUGCAUUUCUAAUUUUAGAAAUGCAGGUUCAUUUUGGAUUAAACUACAUAUCUUGUUUCUCUGCUAUGCCUUGUGCCAAAUUUAUUUCCUUUAUUUUUCAGUGAUGUAUUGUGAGUCAAAAUUCGUAUAAAUCAUCACAGCUAAAUAAACGAUUCAUUACUUUGCACAUCAGAUUUUCUAAUUUCAAUGUUAGUUCUAUAAAGAAGGUGAUAAAAGCCUGGCUGUUGUUCCACUGGAUAUAUGAACAAAACUAGAAAAAUAUCAGGACCUUCAAACAUGGAAGAGGACUGGUCCUUGCUGUUAAAGAAGUGAAUAGUUCUAGAGCUCUCUGAAAAUACCAAUAAAAUUAAUCCAUCGAUGAUAUCUUUGUAAUUGGUAAGAUGAACAAUGCUAAGGAGAAAUGAACAGUUUACCAAUGAGUUUACGAAUGGAUUUUACUGAAGGUAUUAAUACCGUCGGUAAUUCUGUUGGUAUAAAUGACAUGUCAUCGUAUUUUUUGGCUUUGUUUUAAUUCAUUCUUUUUCCACUGUAAUUCUGUGGAUAUAUAUAGAGGAAAUAUAUUUCUGUCGGUAAAAUUCACUAUAAUUACCCGACAAAAACAUUUUGUUAAUGUUUCCACUUGUAUUUGUCAAUUUGUUGGUAAUGUGAAUCUAAUUUCCAUUCUAAGACUCUACCUACUUCUAGUCUCAAUAUUGUCAAGGAUAAUAUCUCUUACUAUUCAUCUUUUCCUUUGAAUCUCUAACCAUAUCCUUUUAUUUGUGAGUACUCUAUGACACUUUGUCCAUAUCAACCCAAACAUUAUCUUGUCCAGCAUCUUUUGUUUAUCCAAGGUUGCUUCACCAUCUUUGAGCCUGUUUGGCUCUGCGGCUGCGGUUGUGUUUUUUUUAAAACGCAGUUGCAGCCGUUUGGUUACAAAAAAAAACAGUUUACUGUUCAUUGGGUCCCACCUGUUUUCUGCGUUGGAAACGCAGUAUUUGCAAAGCAAGAAUUACAUGCUUUUUUUGCACUGUUCACGUAAUUGCACUGUUCAUUGAACAGUGCAAAAUGAUGCACUGUUCAUGAACAGUGCACGAAAAGUGCACUGUUCAUGUUAAAAAUAGUGAACAGUGCACUUUUCUUGCACUGCGUGGAUUUUUUUUUUAGUGUGUUAAUUUUUUUUUUGUUAAUUUUUUUAAAAAAAACUAAUUUAGAGUGAAUUUUAUACAUGAUAAUAUUUUAUUUAAUUUUAUUACACGCUAAAAAAUUAUGGAAACUGUAGUUCUUGUCAGAUAAAUUUUAUACGUAAUGGAAUUGUAGAUAGUUUAAUAGAACAAUAAUUUUUUUUAUAUAUAAAGUAUGAUUUAUUUCAUAAUGUUACCGCAAUAGUUAAAUCUACAAUAUUUAAAUUAAAAACCAUCAAUAUUAAUUUAUAUUUUUUUAAAUUAUUUUAUAACCUCAAUUUCAAAAACAUUCUUAACCAAACACAUUAAACUACUUUUUCUUCAACCUCAAUUUUAACCACAGUUUUAACCAAACACCUAUUUUUUUCAAACCAACCACAACUAAAAGUACUUUUUAUAAAACAACUUUUUUUAAACCACAACCACAACAGCUACCGCAAUACCAAACACACUCUUUAUCUAAACCUAUUUGUUACACCGAGGCUAAACAACAUCCUAAGUCAAAUUCAAUGAUGGCUGCGAAAAUCAAUGCAUUAGUCCACAAGGACACUUAGCCUAUAGUUCUUUUUUAUAUCUUUAUGAAUGUUGCUAGCUGCAAGUGGGUGUACUAGAUUAAAUAGAAAACUAAUCCGUCCAUUUAAUAUUAUAAAACCUGGUUGGUAGCUAUGAAAUAUCAUAAAAGAGAAUAUUGAAUUUGACAUGACCGUUAGUCUAAUUAUCAAAUCGGUUACAAUUUAGAUAGUUUUAUCUAUUACUAUUUUCCAAGACUGGUUUAUUUGUCAGUUGGAAGUUUACUACCCUCUGAGUUUUGUUGAUCCUCACCUUCCUUCUCAUGCAUGUAAACUUCACAAGUCUCUCUAUGGACUUAAAUAGGCACCACUUGCUGAGUUUGAUAAGCUUUGCUAUUUUUUUUAGGUCUUGCUUUUUGCGCGUGUCAAAUUGACACUUCCCUUUUAAUAUACUAAUAAUCAACUAUUUGCAUCUAUAUUUUAGCUUUUAUUGAUGAUAUUCUUAUCACAAAUAAUGAUCUUUUUUUUUUAAGACUCAAACAAUUACUCGUCUGAUUUAUUUUCUUGGUAUUGAGAUAUAACAUCUCAUAAGAAUUGAUGGUAUGUCUCAAUCUCAUAAGAAUUGAUGGUAUGUCUCAAUAUCAACCAAUUUCUACACCGAAAACUGUUGAUUCUCGUCUUUUUACCACCUCUACUAAGUGGCUCUACUUAUUCUUACCUUACUUUAUACCAUUAAUUGUGGUUGGAGUUUUUUUUAUAUGGCUAGAUAUUUCUUUUAUUAUUAAUAAGGUUUUUAAGUUCAUGCAUGUUGUCACACCCGGAUAUCACAACGAUUAAUUCAAAGUUUUUAUGAAAAAAAAAAACAAAUAUCUAACAUCUUGUUGUUUAGAGAAAAAUGCCUAAUUCAAUUAAUUGCCAUUUAAUAUUAUAAUCACUAGAAUCUUAACUGAUCAACAGAGAUUCUUAUGGUACGAGACUGAUUACAUGAAAAGGAAGAUGCUAUCACCAUUUACGCGUCCUGCUUAAAGCAGACUGCAUUGCUGGUUUUGUCUAAAAUCAUUAAGAGUUUGUUCUUCCUCUUUUUUUUUUAUUCUUCCUAUCAUGCUCUUGACUCUAAUGUCAGUAAACAAUACAUGCGAAUAUUUUCAACUCUGGCGUUAGUAAAUAUUAAUCAAACCCAAAAAAAUACGAUAUUCCUGACUCUUCCAUCAAUGAAUAAGUUUGUAAAAUUUUGAAUUUUUGUAUGAAGGAGAAAUAAAUUUUCUAUGCCCUUUUUUGUUUAUCCCUUUUUAUUAUUUACUCUUUUUAGACAAGCCUAAAAAAUCUAUAUUGCAUGACAGAUUUGCAUUUAACAAUCACGGUCCACAGAUUGAGCAUAUAGUAGGAAAAAAAAUGCAAUGAAAAAAUAAAAAAGUAAAAAAUAAAAUAAAACAAUGCGCGAGGGGUCCAAAAAUAAAUCCACGGAGGUCCCCAAAUAUUCUGAGAAUUUUUUGAUAUAAAAAAGAACUUGUUUGGUCAAAUAUCAAAAUAAAAAGGGCAUAAAAAAAAUAUGAUCAAAACAUAAGUAUGUGUUUAGUAACACUCUUAGCAAACACAGUCUGGCUGGCUGGGCUUGAAGCUCAGAUCUGACCCAUUCUAUAUGGGUUGGGCUAGACCCAACCCGCCCGGCUACUGGUUCAGACCAAUAACUGGUUGGUUCUGCAAGUGUGCGUGCUGGCGAGAGAUGUUGCUGGCUUUUGGCUGGGAUUCUGGAAUUUCCACUACUCUUCUUCUGCCUUCUCCUCCUCCUCUUUUCUUUUCUGCUCUUUUGGUUUGUGUUUAUUUUUGGUCAAGUUGAUUUGCUCUCAUUUUCUCUCCCCUGUUAUUCGUUCCCCUGUUUUCUCCUCCCCCUUUUUUCUUUUUCUUCUUUCUCCUCCCUCUUUUUUUUUUCCGUCAUCUAUGCCUCUGCCUUUUAUAGGCAUUCUGUCCUGCUUCCUAUCUUCCAUGAUAGUGAUAAGGCCUGGGUUUUUGUGUUUUGGCCGGAUUGGGACACCAAGAGUGCUGCCAUCGCUGGACUGUUGGUGGUGGUUUCCUCCACGCCUCAAUGGCUUGUUAUGGCGGCGAAGGACACGAAAACGAACUGAGAAGCUGGUGAUGGAAUUCGUGGGCAUUGCAAUGUGUCUGGUGGUGUGAGUUGUCUGUCUGGGUGGCAUUCUGUAUUUCCUUCGCAGGUUGUCCUCUGUUUCCAGAGGAAGAAGACGAAGAAUAGAACAAACGGCGCCGUUUCUGACUGGGGCGGCCCUUUUGCAAUUUAGUCAUUUUACGUUUUGACAUCUUCUAAUCAGGCCCCUGGGAACAUUAUAAUCAGACCCCUAGAUUUUUGCACCUUUUACAAAACAGUCAUUGUCUUCCAGUUUAAUGAAUUUAGUCUUUAAUUGGUUCCACACUUUGGUGUUUCUUUAAUUAAGCCUCUAAUCAUUAAUUAAACUAAUUUUAAACUCAAUUAAGUCUUCAAAUUUAUCAAUUCAUUAAUUAAACCCUUGAUAUCAUUAAUUAAAUAAAUUCAAAGUUUAAUGAAGUCCCCAAACUUAUCAAUUCUUUCAAUUUAUAGCAAAAUUAAACCUCAAUUUAUAAUUCCUUCCUGGUUAAUCCUCAAAAACUUUUCAUUUGUAUUGUCUUGAUUCAAAUCUCAAUUUUUCUUCAUUUAUUUAAUUUUUUUCAUUUUAUUUUCUUUUUAUUUUAUAAAAAUUAAAAAAAUUAAAAAUUUUGACAUUGAUUGGGUUAGUAAUAUCAAUUAUCAAAAGUCUUAUUUGUGCCUAGUUUUCUUAUGGGCUAAGCGUGCAAGCCUCGUAGCUUAGGUCUAUCUGCACUUGAUGUUUCUUGUCCAUCCUAUUUUUUUUUCUUUUCUUAUAAUUUUUAUAUCUUAAAUUGAAAACCUCUUUAAAUAAAUAAUUGCAACGAUGUUUCAUAAAUCAUUCAAUUAUAUUAUUAUUUUUAAAUAAAAUUAUAAAUUUUUAUGGUUAUAUUUGCAUUAUUUUUAUAAUUAUGUACAAAACUCGCAUGCAAAAUAUUUUAUAAAAUGAACAUUAAUAUUUAAUGAGAAUAAAACAUAUAUAUUUUUUUAUCUUUGUAUUGCCAAAUUUUAUAUUUUUUAUCAAAUUAAUUAUUCUUUAUUAUUUUCAUAAAGUCUCAUAAAAAUAAUGGGGAUGUUAUUAUUUUUUUAUUUUGUUUUUGAAAAUUAGCUCGAAAUCAUGAUAAGUUCUUAUAUAAAAAAAUCAACCUUUUAAUAGAAAAUACAUUUUCAUCAAAAUAAAAAUAAAUAUAUGAAUAACAAAAAGGGAAUAUUGGCAAAAGAAAUAUAUUUUUCCUCUUAAAUUUAAAUUAUUUGAAUUCUUAUGAAUUUUUAUUUUAGUUGUUUUAAUUUUUAUUCAAAAAACAUGUGGUGUUGAUUAAAAAAGAAAACUUUCAUGGCUUUGUCAAAUAAGAAAAUAAAUGCAUAAACAAGAAGGGAGAUUUUUGACUGAAUAAAUAUAUAUUUUACUCUAGAAUUUAAAUCAUUGAAAUUCUUUAAGAUAUUUUUUAAUCUCUAUAAAAUUAAAUAAAAAUUAAUUUUAAGAAAAGCCCCGCACCAUCAAAUAUGGGACUUUUCAAACAAUACUCGCCUAAAUAUCCAUUGGGUGUUGUAUUUGCUUGGGAUGGGAACUCUACUUAUAUUAAAAUAUUUUUAUUUUCAAUAGGAACUAAAAAUUAAGUUAUACAUCAUUGGAAAACAAAGGUAUCAAAUGAUAGAAAAACUAGAACUUAAGGGAUCAAGUUGAAGUUUUCCAUGUCAAAAUCUAAACCGUGUUUAUUUUGUUUUCUUUGUUAAAGUUGGCACCUCUUAUUUUAAUUUCUAUUUUUAAUUAUAAUUUGAGAUCGAAUCCACCAAAUAGACUUUUAAUUCAUGCUGAAAUAUUCAUAAUGCAAAUUGAAAGGAUUGUAAGGAAAAAAAAAACCAUGCUAAUACAACAAAAAAAUAUGAAAUUAAAAAGAAUAAAUGUUUAAUAAUUAAAUUAAAAAAAAAACACCAUGGCUGUGAACAGUAUAAUACAUAGUGUAAUGUGUCUGGCACAAUAUUGAAUUAAACUGGGCUAAAAUCAGUUGAAGAAAUUAUGAGUGAAAAAAGGUUUCACUGUUCUUAUUAUUUACAAAGCAAAGUUACACACAUGUAUAUAUAGAGAAAUCUUUAGCCAGUUAUUGUUACAAUCCUUCUAGGAUAGAUAUCCUAUCAGCGGCAGGAUAUAUCUGUCAGGUCUUUGUCUUAUGAUUACACACGGAAUUAUCCUUCAAUGCUAUCUGUCACCACAAUUUCAGGAACCGAAGAGAGUUUACAAGUGCAGGACACUAGAUAUUUGCAAUAGACGGAGUCAGAAUUUUUUUAAUAAAAGAAUAAAUUAUUAAUAAAUACUAUAUUAUAUAGAUAUGCAUUAGAAAUCAAUUCAAAUAUAUAUAAUUUUUAGUUAUUUCUAUAAUUUUUUUUUUUUUUUUUUUAAAAAAAACAUUCUUUAAGCGAAGAUUUAAUAGACUAACGCCUGGUCAAAGUCUUCUUUGGAUAAAAAGACCCGGCUUCAAUAUCACUGGCACGCUCUAGAAUUUCCAUGAAGGUCACGCCAAUACAUGGUUAGAGCUGUCCCAUAUAUGCAAGUUGUCCGUGGAAAUUUAUACAUUUUUUAUUAUGAUGUUAUUGUUGGGUUUCUUACAAACACGGUAGAACGAAUAAUCUUAAUUUUUUAAAUAAUAAAUAUAUUUUAUACGAAUAAAAUUAAUAACAAGUUUUAAAUAAUGUUAAAGAUAAAAAAAUAUUUUUUUAAAUAAUAAAAAUAUUUUAUAUGAAUAAAAUUAAUAAUAAAUAUCAGAUGACACCUACGAACCAAAAAGCAGGGCUGAGAGGUGGAAGUCAGCAGCCAAAUACAUGAAGACGGGAGUGUGAGGGCGAGGGCCUUCUGAGUUUCCCGUGUGGAAAAUUAUGCCAUUUGAUUGUUGAUGCUACAUACCCAACAACGCGGUUUUGUAAUCAAUGCUGCCGACCUGGGAAAAAGAUUUAUACUGAAGAGUCAAGGAGGCUCAUGAUUAGUAGAUAUGGGAAGCAAAGUGGUUGAGCUUCUUGAGCGAAGGUUCAAUGAUAAAUACAGCCAUCGUCUCGAAGUCUUUAGCCCUUUCGUCUGUUCCCAAGUAAACUGCCAAUCAUGACCAGCGGUUGCGCUUAAUAUCUGCUUGGAAUUAUAUUAGUGAUUAUGAUUUAAAAUAUUUUUAGUUUAGAAAUAUAUUAAAAUAAUAUUUUUUAUUUUUAAAAAAUUUAUUUUAAUAUUAUAAAUCAAAAUAAUUUAAAAAUAUAAAAAUUUUAUUUUUAACAAUUUUUUUUUUUUAAAACACGAACACCAAUCAAGAACUUGAAUACAAGCGCAGUGUGAGAAACACUCUUAUUUUACAAGAACAAAAACCCAUAAAUUCCAAACAAAACAAUUGUGUGUGGAAAAAAGAGAAGAGUUAGUGUUCAUACCCGCAUUGAUUGACAGGAAGAAGUCUUUAAUAACUCACAAAAGAGGCUUUUACCACUCAUUAUUCGUCCUCUAGCUCAAACUUGGAAAGGGUUAAACGAAAAUUUAAAAAUGAUUCCCAUGGUCUAGACCAGGAAAAUCAUUAUCAUAAUAAUUACCUAUACCCUAAACGGUACGUUUUUGUCAUAAAAUUCUUUUCUCUUGCAUUUUAGUCGUUAGGAGUUGAGAGAGAAUAGUAGCCAGCAAAGGAGAAAAGAGAGAAAAGUUUCAGCUGACUACAAAAAUAAUUGAUCCUAGCAUCAAUAAACUCUUCUUGAAAAAGUGUUUAAUGGAGGUUUUUUUCCUCAUACUUGAAAAAAUAAAUUGAGGUUUGCAAAAACAAUUUUAUUUGAUUUAAUUUUUAAUUUUUAAAGUGAGUAGAAAGUCUUUAUUGAUUGAAAAUGUAUUUAUUAAAGUGAGUAGAAAGUCGGUAAAAUCCGUCGGUCAUUCCAUUGGUAAACUGUGAACACUGUUCAUCACGUCAAUUACAAAGGGAAUCACCGACGAAAUUUUCCAUCAGUAUUUUCCAGAGAGCUCCAAAACUGUUCACUUUCCAAUUGCACUGUUAAUUGUUGUUUUUUACGGACAAAAUCACCGACGGAUUGAAAAGUCGUCGGUGUUAUUUGGCGGUUUUCUGAAAAAAUUCAAUUAAUUUAAAAUUUUCAUUUAAAUAUUACAGACGGAAUCACCGACGGAUUGAAAAAUCAUCGGUAAUUGUUGGCGGUUUCUGAAAACUUUUUACGAAAUUGAAAAUUUAAAUUAAAUAUUACUAAUGGAAUUACCGACGGAAUAAUUAAAAAAUAUUAAUAUUCAAUUAUCCGUCGGUAAAGCGCCGCAAUAAAAAGCCUGAAUCCCCUUAUUUCACAAGAGACAUACUCAUUUCUUAUUCUUCUUCUUCUUCUUCUUGUUCUUCUACUUCUUCUUCUUCUUUACUAUACGUAAAAAAACAUCAAUAUCUAUUUCUUUCUCUUCUUUUCUCUCCUCAUCUCCUUCUCUUUUCCUCCAUGCUUAGGUAUGUCUUCUUCUUCUUUCUUCUUUCUUCUUUUAUCCUCUCAGUUUUUUUUUAAUUAAUAUGCUUAACGAAAUUUUUUUUCUCUCCUUAGCUUCACUUGCAACUACAUUAAGAUAAGAUUUUUCUUUUUUCUUCUUUUUUCAUGAUUUUUUUCACUAUAUUUGUUUUUUAUUUUAUUUUUAUUUUUUUUUGUUCUUAAUAAUUGUAUAAAUGUUGUUGUGAGAUUUUUUUUUCAUAUGAGAUCAAUUUUUAGUUGAUUUAUUUAUAGGAUUUUUAAAUUUUUAGCAAUUUCAACUUCAUUUUUUUCAUAUGAAUUUUUUUAGUUGAAUUUAUUUUUUUGUUUUAUUUAUUUGUUGCAAAUUUGUUUGAGUUGAUUUUCUUAUUUUUUUUUCCAAGCAUUUUGAGUAUAUAUUAUACGGUCUUAAUUUAUGUUAAUUUAAUUAUUUUAUAAUUUUAUAAAAUGAUUUUUUUUAAAUGUUUUUAAAUAAUUACUGACGGAAUUAACGACGGAAAUUCCAUCGGUAAUUCCGUCGGUAAAUCCGUUGGUAAUAAAAAAAUAUUAUUACCGAGGGAUAUACCGACGAAAUGAAUAUUUUUUUAUUACCAAUGAAUUUACCGACGGAAAAAAAAUUACCGACGAAAGAUUCACCGACGGAGCAUUUCCGUCUGUGAUUCCGUCGGUAAAUUAAUUACCGACAGAAUAUGUGUCUUACGCCGACGGAAAAAUUCCGUCGGUAAAACUGUUAAAUCUUGUAGUGAAAAUUAGAUUUUUUUAAAGAUUUGAUAAAUUUUUCAAAGUUAUAUUAUUAUAAAUCACAAAUUACUCGAUUAUUCGGUUUUUGUUUGGACUUUGACUGUGAUGUUGACACAAAACACUUGCAUGCUAGUCUUUGUAUGUACCAUCAUCAUCCACCAACUCUAAAUCACAAAAUUAUUGCAACAACUAUAAUCAAUCAGCAACAACCAGGAAAUUACCUUUGAUCACACGCUGCUAAAGAAAUUAAUUUCCUAUAUAUGUUACGCUUCAUCUUUGAUAAUUAUUGCAUAUAUUGCUCUAAUAAUUUGCAAGAAAGCAUUUGCAUUCUUUCUCCGGAACAUUAAUAUUGCCUCUACUAUCCUUCAGUCCUGAUCAUUACUUUACUCUUCAGCUAACGUUUCUGAGUGCUGAAAUUUGAUCUUUAAAGUCGCCAGGUUGGUGGAAUCCGAUCAACUCAAACACCAUAUUGAGGUAAGCUUUGCGAUGGUUGCUACUGAUUGCAUGCAUGCAUGUUAUACAGAGGUAUUGCGAGCCCUAAAUUUUUAGCUAAAAUCUAAGUCCAAGUUAGUCUAAAUCUAACCUAAAUUAAUCUAGAUACAUAAAAAAAUAAUUGUAAGAGAAUUGUUUCUCACUUUUAUUUCUUGUGGCUGUCGUGAUCUCCCAUCAAACUAAAGAUUUUAAUUUUUGAUCUUGAGUUUUUAAGUUCAAAAAAGAUGGAAAUAACAAGUAAAUGGUUCUCUCUCAUGUUAUUUUCAAUUAUGGUUUGUUUAUGGAAGGAUUAAAAAAGAUAUUAGGGUUUAUAAGAAUUUGAAAUUUAUGUUAUUAAGAUUGAUUUAUAAUUAUUAGGAAUUUAAUAUUAAGUGAUUGAUUUUGAGUAUGUUGUUAGAAAUAAAGAUUUGUGAAUUAAUUUGUUUAAAUAGAUUUUUAUGGGUUAAGAAGUUUAUUUUGGAAAAUCUGGACAGAAUGGUCUUGAGGUUGAAAAUGAUAAAAUUUUAUUUUUGUCUUUGAUUUAUGAAAAUUAUAGUUAGUCCUUGAACUUUGGAAAAUUAUAAUUUAACCCCUGAUAUGUCUUUUGGAAUUCUGGGCAGUAUUAUUAUGAGGUCAAGGAUGAUGAAUCUCAGUUUGAUAAUUGAUUUGGAAUAUUUUCAGUUUCGUCCCUCAAUUUUGGGAAUUUACAUUUUAGUCCCUGAACUUUAAAAGAAUUACAAUUUGGUCCAUGUUUCGUUCUGGGCAGAAUUGAGGAUGGUUUAUGGAUGGAAUUUCAGUAUGGUUAUGUAUUUACAGUUUGGUCCUCCAAUUUUUGUAAAAUCACAUUUUGGUCCCUAUUUUGGAAAAUUGUCGUUUUAGUCCCUAAACUUAAGCGACUAAAUCUGGUUUUAUUUUAUGCAUUGGGAUCUUUUAUUUGUGUUGGUUUUUUAGUUUAUUUUGUAUAUUUGUUGUAGGUUCUCCUAACUAUUCUCAAUAAGAUUUUCGGAUCUUUCAUAUUAUUUUCCUUUUAAUCUAUUUUUUUUCGGGUGAGUAUGAUAAUCUUUAAUAUGCAUAUUAGGGGUGAGCAAAAAAACCAAGAAACCGAAUAAACGGAGAAAACCGAGAAAAAAAUAACCGAAAAAACCGAACCGAAAAAAAAAACCGAUUAAUUUUUUUGCAAAAAGUUUCGGUUCGGUUCGGUUCCGGUUCCAGAAACCUGAAACCGAAAAAACCCCAACCGAACCGAACCGGUUCGGUUUAAGGGGUACUAUAAAUACAAAAAAAAAUCGCGUUAUUUUUCUUAACCCUAGCAUCCAUACUCCUGCUCCAGCCGUCCUUCUCCUUGCUCCUGACUCCUGAGCCGCUCCCUCAACUCACAAUUCACAAUUUCACAUCUGUGACAAAAUCAAUCCAUCUUCUGAUCUUCAUCUACUGGACCACAGCCAACCACAUCUCUUUCCCAGCAUAUUCAUCUUCAAAGUUCAAACGCCAGUCAGCCACAUCCCUCUCCCACCGGCCACCAUCUUCAUCUUCAAACCCCAGUAAGUCACAUCCCUCUCUCACACGGUCACACCCGAUCUUGAAUCGCAGGACACACACCACACCGGCUACAAGCCUGAAAGAUGGCUCAAUGAGGAUGGCGUGCUUCAGCAAGAAAGCCCUUUCAAGUUUACAGCUUUCCAGGUUAGUGAAAAUAAAGAUCUGUCUAAUUCACUUGAUUAACAUUCAAAUAAAUUUUCUGCUGCCUUUGCUGUGCAAAUCAUUAAGAUCUAUUUUCAGUGCUUGCUCAGCUUAACUUUAUGGACUCCCAUCUCGUUGACCAAAUGACUAAAAUCAGGCUUUCUGCUGGUUAACAGGCAGGGCCACGGAUAUGUCUUGGGAAGGAAUUUGCUUAUAGACAGAUGAAGAUCUUCGCGGCUGUCUUAUUGGGCAGUUUUAUUUUUAAACUCGUUGAGUCCAACUUUUGAUCCAGUCAGGCAGUCACCUCCCUCUCUCACAUCCGACCUUGAAUCAUGUCACAACAGGUAUGGUUUCUUUUUUCUGUCAAUCUCUGUUUUUUUUUUAACAUAUGCUCUGUGAUUCUGUUUAUUAUGAGCUUGAUGUUAUUACAUCAGGGAGAAAAAUAGGAAAAAACAGUUUCCCCGAGAGGCAUUUGUUUUAAAUAUCAUUGCUAAUCCAUUAUUAUGGUAUGCUGUUGCUGUGUGCUAAAAAAACAAAGAAUUAUGUUUAUUAUCUGUGUUAAAAAAAGAGGGGGGGUUCGGUGGAUUGUAAUUUAUCAAUUCUGAAAACUAAGUUUUUUUUAUUUUAUGAAAAGAGAAUAAUGUGUAUAUAUAUAUAUGCUGCUGGGUUGAAAUUACAAAAUACAAUAUAUGCUGCUGUGUUCUAUAUAUAUAUAUAUAUAUGCUACUGGGUGCUGAGAUUGUAUUUCAACCCAGCAGCAUAUAUAUAUAUAUAUAUAUAUAUAUAUAUAUAUAUAUAUAUAUGAAAAAAGAGUAGCUUGGAUUGAAGGGAGAAGUUUUUGUAUUAAUUUGCCAUUGAUUGUACUCAGCACCCUUACUUUGGAUUGUUGAUCAAUUCCAAAAAUAAUGAAAAGUUCAUGAUAUAUGCUUGAGUUUUCCUUUGGUUGGCAACACUCACGAAUUUAAAAAAGAGUAGCUUAAUUAAAUAACACCUUUUGCUUCAUACUCCCUUCUCACCCAUGUUUCUGAACUACUAGAUUUACCAUUCGAAUAUAUAUAUAUAUAUAUAUAUAUAUAUAUAUAUAUAUAUAUAUAUAUAUAUAUAUAUAUAUAUAUAUAUAUAUAUAUAUAUAUAUAUAUAUAUAUAUAUAUAUAUAUAUAUAUGCUGCUGUAUAUAUAUAUAUAUUUUGUAUUGUAUUAUUGUCUAUUGAAAUUACAAAAUGCAAUCUCAGCACCCAGUAGCAUAAUUUUUUUUCAACAUAUCAACCAAAAUAAAAGAACUUAACUUGUGAAAAUAAUCUUUAAAAGUACAGUUGAACUUAUGCAUGUCAUACUAUUGUUAAUCUAUUAUAAAUUAUUGGUUUUUAACAUGUUUUCAUUAUGUAAUAACAGAUGGAAACUACUCAAAUUCAAAAUGCUUCAUCCAUGGGCACUACUCCAACAUCAACUACUUCUCCAACUUCAAAACCUAACGCAGAAUCAACCAAUGCAGGGUCCACCACAGAUACAAAAGGUAAACAACCUCAAGUCCUUACAUCUAGGAAAAGAAAUGCUGAUGAUAAAAAGAAGUCACAAAUUUAGGAUCACUUUACAAAACUUGAUGUUGAUCCUAAAGCCCCUAGAGCUGAAUGUAAUUAUUGUGGAAAACAUUAUGCAUGUCAUACUAUUGUUAAUGGCACAAGUAAUAUGUGGAGUCAUUUAAAAGUGUGCAAGAAGUUCCCUUUUGUGGUUGAUAAGAAACAAAAGGUUUUGGUAUUAGAACCUAAGAUAGAGAAGGGUGAAUUGGGAGAACAAAAUGUGGGAAGUCUCAAGGCAAUAGGUUAUAAUUAUGAUGAAUGUAGACAAGCACUAGCAAAGAUGGUUAUAAUUGAUGAGUUGCCUUUUAAUUUUGUGGAGGGUCGGGGAUUUAAAUUGUUUGCUAGGACUAUGCAACCUAGAUUUGACAUUCCUUCUCGUUUUACAAUUAUGAGAGAUUGUUUGAAACUUUAUGUUGAAGAGAAGGAUAGAUUGAGGACAGCUCUUAGGGGUCAACGAUUGUGCUUGACAACAGAUACAUGGACAUCAAUCCAAAAUAUUAACUAUAUGUGUUUAACAGCUCAUUGGAUUGAUAAUGACUGGAAUUUGCAUAAAAGAAUUCUUAAUUUUUGUCAAGUUUCCAAUCAUAUGGGUGAGACAAUUGGCCAAGUUAUUGAGAAUUGUUUGUUGGAGUGGGGGAUUGAUAAACUGUUGACUAUUACAUUAGACAAUGCAAGCUCUAAUAAUGUGACCAUUUCAUAUUUAAAGAAUGUGAUGAAAGAUUUGCCAACUAAUAUAUUGUCAAAUGAGCACUUGCAUGUUAGAUGUUGUGCACACAUUGUAAACCUCAUUGUAUGUGAUGGCUUGAAAGAGAUUAAUGAUUCAGUUGUUAAGAUUCGAAAUGCCAUUAGAUUUGUGAGAUCUUCACCAUCGAGGCAUCUUGCAUUUAAGAAGUGUGCUGAAAAGUUGCAUAUAGAGUGUAAGAAAUCAUUGUGUUUAGAUGUUGCAACUCGAUGGAAUUCAACUUAUCUUAUGCUAGAAGCUGCUGAAAAGUUUGAAAAGGUGUUUGUGAGGUUAGGUGAAAAAGAACUUAGGUAUAUAAGUUACUUUUUGGAGGUUGAUUCAAAGGGGAAAAAAAAAACAUAGGGCCACCUGGUUUGGAGGAUUGGGAAAAUGCAAGAACUUUGGUUAAGUUCUUAAAGAUCUUUUAUAUGGUUACAUUGAGAUUUUCUGGCUCAUUGCAUGUCACAUCAAAUUCUUUCUUCAAUGAAUUGAUUUACAUGCAUACAAACUUGUUGCAAUUGUGUAAAAAUAAAGAUAGUAUUUUAAGUGGAAUGGCGAUGAAUAUGAUGUUAAAGUUUGAGAAGUAUUGGGGUUGUGAAGUAAAUCAGAAUUUUUUGUUAUAUGUGGCUACUGUCUUAGAUCCACGUUUGAAGUUGAAAUAUGUGAAAUUUUGUUUUAGUGAUUUGUAUGAUUAUGACAAAGCACAAUUGCUAACAACUAAGGUGAAAGAUACUUUGGUGAACUUGUAUGAGUUUUAUUUGAAAAUUGAUGAAGUGGUGGAUAAUAAUAGGCAUAAACAGGAUGUUAAUGCUAUUGAUAAUGUGGAGGUAGAUGUUAACACUUUGGCUCGAUUCAAAAGACAUUUGCUAGAGGUGGAUAGUGUGGAAAAUAAAAAUGAGGUUGAGAGGUAUUUGAUUGAAGGUUGUGAGGAUCCUGAUGAUGAUAAGUUAGAUAUUUUGGGUUGGUGGAAAAGUAAUGCUUUGAAAUAUAAGACACUUUCAAAGGUUGCACAACAUGUUCUGGCUAUUCCUAUAUCCACAGUGGCUUCUGAAUCAGCAUUUAGCACAGGUGGUCGUGUGCUUGAUCAAUUUCGAAGUUCUCUCUCUCCAGCAACUGUUCAAGCACUCAUUUGUUGUCAAAAUUGGUUGCAUCAUGGAUCAAUUCCAACUGAUAUUAGAAGCUUGAUAAAUGAUCUUGAAACCUACGAAAACCUUGAGUCAGGUAAUUUUUUUUAGAAAUUUGCACCUUUUAUUUUGUUAUUUAUUAAUUAAAUUGUUUGCAAUCAUCUAACAUGUCUAAUUUUUUAUUUUGUAGAAUUUGGUGGAAAGUUACAUUUAGUAACGGAUGAUAAUUAGUUCAAAAGUUACUUUGAUGGUAAAAUACUACUAUUUAUUUUUACAUAUUCUAAUUUAUUUUAUCAUGUUAUAAUUUUAGAUCUUGAUUUUCAGGUUUUGAUGUCAAUGGUAUUACGGAAUCAAAGUGCAAUGUUCUUGUUAUCUUGUUGUGCUUUUUGAUUAAGAUGAUGUGCACAAUGAAGAUUUAUAUUUUUUGCAUGAAGUAUUUUAUUUUUUAUGGCAAUGUUAUUUGUUGUUUUUUUAAGCCCAUUUUGAAGGCAAUGCUUUGUAAUUUUAAUUUUAAUUUGGUGUGUGUGUUAUUUAAAUUUUGAUGCAUGAGGAGUCCAAACUCCAAAAUAUAAAUAUUAGAAAGAUGUGCAACAUAUUAAACAUAAUAUUAGCACUAAUAAUUUAAUAUAAAUGAAUAUUUAGUGAAAAAAAAUAUUAAAUAUAUUAUAGAAUUUUGUAACAAAAUUAGAUGAUAUUUACAUUAAUUACAAGCCCAUCAGAAAACCCAUUAAAAAGCCCGAAAAGCCCAAAAAAGCCCAAAAAGGCCUAAAAAAACAAUAAUACAGGUUUUCCGGUUUUUCUGAUAAAAAACCAAACCGAACCGAACCGAAACCGGUCGGUUUGAACCGGUUCCGGUUCGGGUCCGGUUUGAAUUUUUAAGUUUUUCAAAAUUUGAUUUUGGUUAGUUUUUUGGGUAAAAACCGAACCGAACCGAAUUUGCUCACCCCUAAUGCAUAUAAUAUAAAUAAAUAUGUAUGUUGAUUAUAUAAUGAAUACGACUAGUUAAUUUCUUGAAUAUUUAUAUAUGUUGCUUUAUGUUUCAAGUAUUCAUUUAUUCUUGAAUUUGCACUCGUAUUCUGUCGAACUAAAUUCUAUUGGAUAUGAUAUAUAUUUAUUUGGUGAUUAUGUGAAUAUCUAUUAUGCCUUGAUACAGGACUUGUCAGUCACUCCAUGUUAACGAAGAGUAGUUAGCAUAUGUGCAUAUAAUAUUCUGUAUACCUAACUUGUGAGAGAGGCAUCAGCCUGCGGCGAUUGAUCCUUCCAAAGUGGCCACCUUCGGGUGUCAUCUAGUCUCUGACAUGUAUUCCAUCACUUUAUGAUAACAUGCUUAGUAUGUGUAUAUAUAUAUAUCAAGAUAAAUCAACUUACAAACUAUUAAUAUCUAAAAUAUAUAUUAAGUGUUAUUCCCUCACGGAGUUAGUUGAACUCACCCCUCAUUGUUAAUAUUAUUUUAGGUUCUUAAUUUUUGUUAGCAGGUGGACUUUGUUGAGUAUUUCUACUUCGUCAGUUUUAGUCGGUAUACCUUACUUGUUUUACGAGGCUUUCCUUAAGUUUUGAUUCGAUGUUUUAGACGCUUCACUAUUAUUCUAUUUUAAUUAAGUUUGGAUUUUAACAAUGUAGUAAAUAUUAUGGAUUAUUGUUUUUGUUUUAAUUACCGAUAAUAAGUUUUGAACUGUUAUUUGGUUUUAUUAGUUUUAAAUAAUAAAUAUUUCUGAAGAUUUCACUAUGUAUUUUUAAAUAACUUGUUCUUUUGAUAUGUUCAUUAAACUUAGUAUAGGUAGAGAGUCUUUUCAACACCACUCUUGUGUUACCAGCCAUGCACCUGAGAUUCGGGUCAUGACAAGUAUAGCUACCUCUUCUUUGCUUCUUUCUUGUUUUAAAUUGAUGUCUUUACUCAUAACAAUAAUUUGAAAGCUUUAUGUUCAGAUAGACAUCAUUGAUGAGUUUAUUGAGUUAAUUCCUUGGAUGUCUUCUAGAACAAGAUCAUUCUACUUUAGAAUGCCGAAAGAAAAACGCAAACAAUCCAAAGAUGAAGAAAAUGAUUCAUCCUCGCGAAAGAGAAGAAAAGCUGACCUCAUGAGUAAGCUUUUUAAAUGCUAUUGUUUUGUGCUCUCUGGUUCUUAAACUUGAAGUAUUAGGUGAAACUCAAUGAAUGAAUGAUUUUCUUACCUUACUCUCUAAUAGUAAUUGCGUUGAAAUUCCUACUCAGCACAUUCAUAUGUAUUGUCUUUGAUGAUCACUUCACAUGUAUCCCUUACUAGUUAUAAACUUAUAAUUCCACGAUAGCAGAUACCUCCUGCAAUCUCUUCAUUGCUAAUUAAUUAAUCGUGCCUUAAUUUCUGCAGCUGCCAUGACAGAGCCAGAUUCUUCUCGAUCUAGACCACAAGGGGCCUAUGAUGUCUUUUUGAGUUUUAGAGGAGAAGAUACUCGCAAGACAUUUACAGAUCAUCUAUAUACUGCCUUAGUCCAAGCAGGAAUCCACACUUUUCGAGAUGAUGAUGAACUUCCUAGAGGAAAAGAAAUCUCCGAUCAUCUCCUCGAGGCAAUUCAAGAAUCAAAGAUAUCUAUAGUGGUCUUCUCAAAAGGAUAUGCUUCGUCUAGAUGGUGUCUUGAUGAACUUGUAGAGAUUGUGAAGUGCAAAUAUAGGAAAACUAGAACUUAAGGGAUCAAGUUGAAGUUUUCCAUGUCAAAAUCUAAACCAUGUUUAUUUUGUUUUUCUUAUUUUAAUUUAUAUUUUUAACUAUAAUUUGAGAUCGAAUCCACCAAAUAGACUUCUAAUUCAUGCUGGAAUAUUCAUAAUGCAAAUUGAAAGGAUUGUAAGAAAAAAAAACCAUGCUAAUACAACAAAAAAAUAUGAAAUUAGAAAGAAUAAAUGUUUAAUAAUUAAAUUGAAAAAAAAACCAUGGAUGUGGCACAAUACUGAACUAAACUGGGCUAAAGUGAUUGUGCCAUCUCUUUUAGUUAUUUCCAUAAUCUUUGGUAUAGACCUGGGAAAAAGGAGGUUCAUGAUUAGUAGAUAUGAGAAGCAAAGUGGUUGAGCUUCUUGAGCGAAGGUUCAAUGAUAAAUAUAGCCAUCAUCUCGAAGUCUUUAGCCCUUCGUCUGUUCCCAUGUAAACUGCCCAUCAUGACUAGCGGUGGCGUUUAAUAUUAGCGGUUAUUAUAUAAAAUAUUGUAAGAUAAUCAUUAUAUUUCAAUAUAUGAUCAAGGAAGAUAUAUAUAUAUAUAUAUAUAUAUAUAUAUAUAUAUAUAUAUAUGCAAGUUGUGACUAGUUUGGACUUUGACUGUGGAUUUUUUAGAAUUUUUAAAAAAAUUACUUAAAGAUUAGAUUUUUUUAAAGAUUUGAUAAAUUUUUCAAAGUUAUAUUAUUAUAAAUCAUAAAUUACUUAAUUAUUCGGUUUUUGUUUGGACUUUGACUGUGAUUUUGCCAAAACACUUGCAUGCUAGUCUUUGUAUGUACCAUCAUCAUCCACCGAAGUCUAAGUCUUCAAUAACUCACCAAAGCAUUUGCAUUCUUUCUCCCAAACAAUAUUGAUUUUCUUAUUCUUUUUUCCAAGCAUUUUAAGUAUAUAUUAUACGGUGUUAAUUUAUGUUAAUUUAAUUAUUUUAUAAUUUUAUAAAAUGAAUUUUUUUAAAUGUUUUUAAAUAAUUACUGACGGAAUUAACGACGGAAAUUCCAUCGGUAAAUCUGUUGGUAAUAAAAAAAUAUUAUUACCGAGGAAUAUACCGACGAAAUAAAUAUUUUUUUAUUACCAACAGAUUUACCGACGGAAAAAAAAUUACCGACGAAAGAUUCACCGACGGAGCAUUUCCGUCGGUAAAUUAAUUACCGACAAAAUAUGUGUUUUACGCCGACGGAAAAAUUCCGUCGGUAAAACUGUUAAAUCUUGUAAUGAAAAUUAGAUUUUUUUAAAGAUUUGAUAAAUUUUUCAAAGUUAUAUUAUUAUAAAUCACAAAUUACUCGAUUAUUCGGUUUUUGUUUGGACUUUGACUGUGAUGUUGAUAAAACACUUGCAUGCUAGUCUUUGUAUGUACCAUCAUCAUCCACCAAGUCUAAAUCACAAAAUUAUUGCAACAACUAUAAUCAAUCAGCAACAACCAGGAAAUUACCUUUGAUCACACGCUGCUAAAGAAAUUUCCUAUAUAUGUUACGCUUCAUCUUUGAUAAUUAUUGCAUAUAUUGCUCUAAUAAUUUGCAAGAAAGCAUUUGCAUUCUUUCUCCGAAACAUUAAUAUUGCCUCUACUAUCCUUCAGUCCUGAUCAUUACUUUACUCUUCAGCUAAUGUUUCUGAGCGCUGCAAUUUGAUCUUUAAAGUCGCCAGGAUGGUGGAAUCCGAUCAACUCAAACACCAUAUUGAGGUAACCAGCUUUGCGAAGGUUGCUACUGAUUGCAUGCAUGCAUGUUAUAUAGAGGUACUGUGAACCCCAAAUUUUUAGCUAAAAUCUAAGUUGAAGUUAGUUCAAAUUAAUCUAACAUAAGUUAAUCUAGAUAUAUAUAAAAAAAAGUUGUAAGAGAAUUGUUUCUCUCUUUUAAUUUUUAUGGCUGCUGUGACCCCCAUCAAAUUAAAAAAUUUAGUUUUUAAUCUUCAGUUUUUGAGUUCAAAAAAGGUGGAAGUAACAAGUAAAUGAUUAUCUUUCAUGUUACUUUCAAUUAUGGUUUGUUUAUGGAAGGAUUAAAAAAGAGAUUAGGGUUUAUAAGGAUUUGAAAUUUAUAUUGUUAAGAUUGAUUUAUAAUUAUUAAGGGUUUAAUAUUAAGUGAUUGAUUUUGAGUAUGUUGUUAGAAAUAAAGAUUUGUGAAUUGAUUUGUUUAAAUGGAUUUUUAUUGGUUAAGAAGUUCAUUUCAACCUUGCUGGAAAAUCUGGACAGACUGGUCUUGAGGUUGAAGAUGAUAAAAUUUUAUUUUGAUCUUUGAUUUAUAAAAAUUAUAGUUUAGUCCUUGAACUUUGGAAAAUUAUAAUUUAACCCCUGAUAUGUCUUUUGGAAUUCUGGGCAGUAUUAUUAUGAGGUCAAGGAUGAUGAAUCUCAGUUCGAUAAUUGAUUUGAAAUAUUUUCAGUUUGGUCCCUCAAUUUUGGGAAUUUACAUUUUAGUCCUUGAACUUUAAAAGAAUUCCAAUUUGGUCACUGGUUCGUUCUAGGCAGAAUUGAGGGUUUAUGGAUGGAAUUUCAGUAUGGUUAUGUAUUUACAGUUUGGUCCUCCAAUUUUGGUAAAAUCACAUUUUGGUCCCUAUUUUGGAAAAUUGUCGUUUUAGUCCCUAAAGUUAGGAGACUAAAUCUGGUUUUAUUUUAUGCAUUGGGAUCUUUUAUUUGUGUUGUUUUUUUAGUAUAUUUUAAAUAUUUGUUGUAGGUUCUGCUAACUAUCCUUAAUAAGAUUUUUGGGUCUUUCAUAUGAUUUUCCUUUUAAUCUAUAUUUUUCCGAGUGAGUAUGAUAAUCUUUAAUAUGCAUAUAAUAUAAAUAAAUAUAUAUGUUGAUUAUAUGAUGAAUACGACUAGUUAAUUUUUUGAAUAUUUAUAUAUGUUGCUUUAUGUUCUGAGUAUUCAUUUAUUCUUGAAUUUGCAUUCGUAUUCCAUCGAACUAAAUUCUAUUCGAUAUGAUAUAUAUUUAUUUGAUGAUUCUGUGAAUAUCUAUUAUGCCUUGAUAUAGGACUUGCCAGUUACUACAUGCUAACGAAGAGUAGUUAGCAUGUGUGCAUAUAAUAUUAUGUAUACCUAGGUUGUGAGAUAGGCAUCAACAUGUGGCGAUUGAUCCUCCCAAAGUGGUUAUCUUUGGGUGUCAUCUAAUCUCUGGCAUGUAUUCCAUCACUUUAUGAUAACAUGCUUAGUAUGUAUAUGUAUAUCAAGAUAAAUCAACUUGCAAAUUAUUAAUAUCUAAAAUAUAUAUUAAGUGUUAUUCCUUCACUGAGUUAGUUGAACUCACCCCUCAUUCAUUAUUUUAGAUUCUUAAUUUCUGUUAGCAGGUGGUCUUUGUUGAGUAUUCCUACUUCUUCAGUUUUGGUCGGUAUGACUUGCUUGUUUUACGAGACUUUCCUUUAGUUUUGAUUCGAUGUUUUAGACGCUUCACUAUUAUCCUAUUUUAAUUAAGUUUGGAUUUGAACAAUGUAGUAAGUAUUAUGAAUUAUUAUUUUUGUUUUAAUUACCGAUAAUAAGUUUUGAACUAUUAUUUGGUUUUAUUAGUUUUGAAUAAUAUAAUAUUUCUGAAGAUUAUAAAAUACUUCAUAUUUUUAAAUAAUUUGUUCUUUUGAUAUAUCCACAUAGGCAGUGAGUCUUUUUAACACCACUCUUGCGUUACUAAUUAUGUACCCGAGAUUCAGGCAAUGACAAAUAUAGCUACCUCUUCUUUGCUUCUUUCUUGUUUUAAAUUGAUGUCUUUACUCGAAAGCUUUAUAUAUAUGUUCACAUAGACAUCAUUGAUGAGUUUAUUGAGUUAAUUCCUUGCAUGUCUUCUAAAACAAGAUCAUUCUAUUUUAGAAUGCAGAAAGAAAAACGCAAACAAUCCAAAGAUGAAGAAAAUGAUUCAUCCUCGCGAAAGAGAAGAAAAGCUGACCUCAGUAAGCUUUUUAAAUGCUAUUAAUGUUUUACGCUCUCUGGUUGUUAAACUUAAACAAUUAGGUGAAACUCAAUGAAUGAAUGAUUCAUUAAUUAAAGUUAAACAAUUAGGUUAAACUUAAACUACAAUGCUAAUUAAUUAAUUAAUCAAUUAAUUGUGCCUUAAUUUCUACAGCUGCCAUGAUAGAGCCAGAUUCUUCUCGAUCUAGACCACAAGUGGCCUAUGAUGUCUUUUUGAGUUUCAGAGGAGAAGAUACUCGCAAGACAUUUACUGAUCAUCUACAUACUGCCUUAGUCCAAGCAGGAAUCCACACUUUUCAAGAUGACGAUGAACUUCCUAGAGGAGAAGAAAUCUCCGAUCAUCUCCUCAAGGCAAUUCGAGAAUCAAAGAUAUCUACAGUGGUCUUCUCAAAAGGAUAUGCUUCUUCUAGAUGGUGUCUCAAUGAACUUGUGGAGAUUCUCAAGUGCAGAAAGAGAAAAACUGGUCAGAUUGCUCUUCCUAUAUUCUAUGACAUUGAUCCUUCAGAUGUGAGAAAACAGACUGGCAGUUUUGCUGAAGCAUUUGUUAAACAUGAAGAACGUUCUAAAGAGAAGGUGAAGGAGUGGAGAGAAACUCUUGAGGAGGCAGGAAAUCUAUCUGGAUGGAAUCUCAAAGAUAUGGCAAAUGGGUAUGCCUUUUCUCUAUAAGAUUCACUUCCACACAUUUAUAUAUGGAGUCAUUAUACACUACAUAUUUUACAAUGUGAAACAAUAAAAUACUUUAUGAACAUACUUAAUUGUCUCGCUAUUAAUGACUUGCUUUUGUCUAUGAACAGGCAUGAAGCAAAAUUUAUCCAAGAGAUUAUCAAGGAUGUGUUGACUAAAUUGGACCCCAAGUACUUACAUGUUCCUAAGCACCUAGUAGGUAUUGAUCCGCUUGCUCACAAUAUUUUUCACUUCCUAAGUACUGCAACAGAUGAUGUACGCAUUGUGGGCAUACAUGGGAUGCCAGGAAUAGGAAAGACGACUAUAGCAAAAGUUGUAUUUAAUCAACUCUGCUAUGACUGUGGAUAUGGAUUCGAGGGAAGCUCAUUUCUUUUGAAUGUCAAAGAAUCAGAAUCUAAGGAUAUGGUUCUUCUACAGUAACAACUUCUUCAUGAUAUUUUAAGACAAAAUACUGAGAAGAUCAAUAAUGUUGAUAGAGGAAAGGUUCUGAUUAAAGAACGACUCUGGCGCAAAAGAGUUCUUGUCGUUGUUGAUGACGUGGAUCAUCUGGACCAAUUAAAUGCUUUGAUUGGAGAGCGAAGCUGGUUUGGUCGCGGAAGCAGGGUAAUAAUUACAACUAGAGAUGAACGCUUACUUCUUGAAGUUGAUCAAAGAUACCAGGUUCAAGAACUGAACCCAGAUGAGUCCCUUCAGCUUUUCAGUCAGCAUGCUUUUAGGGAUACCAAGCCAGCAAUAGAUUAUGUUAAGCUUUCGAAUGAUGUAGUUGAAUACUGUGGAGGGCUUCCUUUAGCUCUUGAGGUUUUAGGUUCUUCUUUGUUUGGGAAAAACCAAGCUAGAUGGGAAUCUGUAAUUGACAGAUUGAGAAAAUUUCCGAACUGUGAAAUUCAGAAAAAACUUAGAAUAAGUUUAGACACACUGGAUGAACCUACACUAAAGAAUACAUUUCUUGACAUUGCAUGCUUCUUGAUUGGUACGUAGAAAGAAAGAAUACGUAGCAAAAGUGCUAGAAGGACGUUAUGGUUACAAUCCAGAAGAUGAUUUGGGAACUCUCAUUGAAAGGUCUCUGAUUAAAGUUAAUCAUUCUGGAAUUCUCAUUGAAAGGUCUCUGAUUAAAGUUGAUGAUUCUGGAACGAUAAGCAUGCAUGAUCUAUUACGAGAGAUGGGAAGGGAGAUCGUUAAGGAAGAGUCACCUGAAAAUCCUGCACAAAGGAGCAGAAUUUGGAGUCAAGAGGAUGCGUGGAAAGUACUCAAGAUGCAGAUGGUAAGAACUCAACGCAUACAGAAAAGCACAUUCAUGUGUAUCUUUAUUGUCAAACUUAUUACAAACAAUCAUAUGAAAGUUCGAUUGGUUUUUAUUUUAUUUUUUGCUUUUUUAGGGAACAGAAGUUGUAAAUGGCCUUACACUGGAUGUGAGAAGAUCAGAAGACAAAUCACUAAGCACAGGAUCAUUUACAAAAAUGAAAAACUUAAAAUUACUGCAAAUCAAUGGAGCAUACCUCACCGGAUCUUUCGAAUAGCUUUCUAAAGUGUUGACGUGGAUUUGUUGGCUUGAACGUCCUUUGGGAUUUUUGCCAUCUGAUUUUACACUGGACUACGUAGUUUUUAUUGAUAUGAAGUACAGUAACAAUAUUAGAGAACUAUGGAAGGAAAAAAAGGUGCGAAACACACCAAAAUGCCCAAAAACUUGUCUAAUAUGUAAUUUAUCUUUACAAGUUACAACUUUUGAUGAUUACUUAAUGAUUUUCCUCACUGCUCUGACAGAUUCUCAACAAUCUAAAGAUCAUUGAUCUCAGUUAUUCAAAGAACCUUGUUAAAACACCAAACUUGCACAGUUCAAGUCUAGAGAAACUACUGCUUGAAGGUUGCUCAAGUUUAGUUGAGUUAUAUCAAUCUAUUGGACAUUCAAAGUCUCUUGUAUGUUUGAAUAUUUCGGGGUGUUCACAACUUACAGAGUUGCCGGAGUGCAUGCGUGAUAUUGAGUCCUUCACUGAGCUUCUAGCAGAUGGAAUUAACAACGAGCAAUUUCUCUCUUCAGUUGGACAUUUAAAGUGUGUGAGGAAGUUGUCAUUGCGCGGACACUGGAAGGGGGACAGGAAGUUACCAUAUCGGCCUUCACCAAAUUCUUCUUGGAUUUCAGCUUUUCUGCUAACUCCAACUUCCACUAUUUGGAGAGUAUUGGGAAAGCUAAAACUUCUUAAUUGUGGUUUCUCUGAACAUGCAACUAAUUCUGUUGAUUUUGGAGGUUUUUCCUCUCUUGAAGAGUUGGAUCUAUCAAGAAACGAGUUCUUCAGUCUGCCUUCUGGCAUCGGCAUCCUUUCUCAGCUGCGGCUUUUGACCGUUCAGGAAUGCGGAAAUCUUGUAUCAAUCCCAGAGCUUCCCUCAAAUUUAGAACGUUUGGAUGCAUUUGGUUGCAAAUCAAUGCAAUGGGUAAGACUACCAAUCCAAGCAAAAAAAUAUCUACGUCUGUCUCUGUUUGGUUGUGCGGAUUUAAUAGAGAUUCAAGGCAUGGAAGGUCUGAGUAAUCAUGGCUGGAUUAUUACCUAUGUUACCAAGAGCAAGUUAUCAAAUAAUUAUAAGAAAAGUCUUGUUGAGGUACUAUUUCUGUCUCUCUUGCACACAAAUAAGCACACAAAUUGGCACAUACUAUAUAUACAUUAAUUAAUGUCUAAUAUAUACAGGCACUGUGCUACGGUGGUUACGGGUAUCAAAUUCUCUUCAAUCGUUGUCAUACGUUCAGCCACAGAGAUAAGUUCACUAUGAUUCCAAAUUGGUUCAGCUACCGUGGAAAAGGAACUUCAUUAUCAUUUCAUGUACCUCCAGUUUUCCAAGGCUUGGUCGUUGGGGUUGCCUGUCAAUGCUUGAUGGGUAUUUUGGGUGCCGCCAAAUUGUGUAUACAAAAUAAAAGCAACGGUAUUCAAUUGUUUGAAGCAUACGUGUGCGAUUCGGCCGCUAGCAAUUUGAUGACAUACAUAAGUACAAGGGAGAUGGCAAUGGAAGAAUACUGUGAAGAUGAGGAAUUGGAACUGUGCGUGGAACUUUAUAUGGGAGAAGACGCUGAAGUGUUUGAAUUUGGGAUCCAUGUGAUAGUUGAAAAGACAGAUUCAUUUGAAGGGUCAGAGUGGGAUCAUGAGUCUGAAGUUGGAAGAGAUGGAGGAAUACCUGCACCACCACAUCUGUCUCAAUAUCCGCUGUACAAUUUCUUUGAGAUUGACGGCAAGCAAGGGCUGAGUAAUUUAUCAAAAAAUACCAAGGAUUGGCUUCUUCAGGUACUGUUUCUGUCCCUCUCGCACACAAAUAAACACACAAUUGGCGCGCACACACAUAUAUAGCAUGUGUAUAUAUACAUAUAUUAAUCAGUGUCUAAAAUCUCAGCAUUCCUUGAAUUCACUAUUUAUGCAGAGAAUCUUCAAUUAUCAUUUUCGCGAGUAUUUUAUUCUAUCAUUCCAAAAUGGUUCCGCUACGAUUGGAGAAGGAUGUUCAUUAUCAUUUGUGUUGACAGUUGCCUCACAGCUACAAGACCUGAUAUCAUGCAUGCUGUAAGCUUGUUAUCAAGGUUUAUGCAUUGUGCAAGUGAAGUUCACUUCAAGGCUGCGAAAAGAGUUGUUAGAUAUAUCAAAAGUACACUAAGCUAUGGCAUUUAGUUUAGUUGUAUUGAAAAUUUUGAUCUCUAAGGAUAUGCAGACAGUGAUUGGGCUGGCAGUUGUGAUGACAUGAAGAGCACCUCUGGAUAUUGUUUCAGUUUUGGAUCAGGAAUUUUCUCCUGGUGUUCAAAAAAACAAGAGAUAAUUGCUCAAUCAACAGCAGAGGCAGAGUAUGUUGCAGCUACAGCAGCUGCAAAUCAAGUUUUAUGGCUGAGAAAAAUCUUAGCAGACUUGGACAUGGAGCAGAAGAAAGCUACUAGGGUCAAUGUUGAUAAUCAGGCGGCAAUUGCAAUAUCCAACAAUCCAAUCUUUCAUGGCAAAACAAAGCAUUUCAAGCUCAAGUAUUAUUUUCUGAGAGAGGUUCAGAAAAAUGAAGAGAUACAACUUAUUUAUUGCAGGACAGAAGACCAGCUUGCUGACAUUUUAACCAAGCCAUUGUCAAAAACAAGGUUUGAAAUAUUAAGAAACAAGAUAGGUGUCUGCAGCAAAAGAUGCAAGGAGGAGUGUUGACAGUUGCCUCAUUUGCUGCUGAAGAAGAGGUCUUCGAUGCUGAGAAGACUGAGAAGUUUUAGUCAAGAUUAGCUUUCCAUUAUGUUAGCAUGUUUGUUAUAAAUAAAGCUGUUAUAGAACAGCUCUUUGUUUGUUAAGAUUUCGUCAUUAUUUUUCUGUAGUUUGUUAUCAAAACUCUUCUAUAAAAGAGUGAUUUCAUUAAUAAAAUAUGAUGCUUGCAGUCACAAUAACAACAAUUAUUAUAGCUGUCCUGUUUUCUUUGUCUGUAUACAAUCUCACAACUUCAAUUUGAUUUACCUCCAGAUUUCGAAGGCUUGGUCAUUUGGGCUGUCUGUUCAGGUUGUGGUGGGUAUCAAGAAUUCAUGGCUAUUAUAAAAAAUAAAAGCAACGGUAUUCAGUUGUUCGAAGCUACACAUGCAAGACCCUAUUUCCGUAGUAGGUGGCUAAGAGUCAUAAGCAAACCUGAGAUGGCAAUGGAAAAACGCUGUGGGGAUGCUGGUUUGGAACUACAUGUGAUAUUGAGGUCCGAAAACAGCGAAGUGGUACGAUGUGGGAUCCAUGUGAUAGAUCCAUUUGGACGGAGCAUAUACGCUCAAUCUCCAGCGUUGGAUCAUGACCUUUACAACUACGAGACUUCAUUUGAAGGUUCAGAGGGGGAUCAUGACAUUGACUACUACGAGACUUCAUUUGAAGGGUCAGGAUCGUCGGAUCAUGAGAAUGACAACCAACAGUCCGAAGUUGAAAGCGAUAGAACGAUACCUUCGCCACCAUAUCAUCUGCUUCAUCAUCCCCGUCAUGGUUCAAUGAGGUUUUCUACAAGGCAGCAGUGGAUAGCUUUUUUGAUUCGGGCGUUCACCCUAUGGAAUAUCAGAGCCACGCAAAAAUUCUCACCUCAUGAUCUCAAUUAGUCGAAGGAUUGGUUUAAGAAAACUCCCCACUUUAUGCGCACUUAGGUAGCAAAAUUAUUGGACUAAUGGGCUGUGGUUGUUUAAAAAAACUUAUCCAACAAAAUCUUCAUGGGUGUUAAAUGCCAAUUGUCUCUAAUAUUUGUUUUCUUGACUAUUUUAAGCAAUCGAGUAAUUAUCUAUAUUUUAAGAGACUACAGGAAAAGAUCGAGCUGCGAAAAAAUGAAAAUUUUUAUCAGCUUGGUUUCCUCAUAAAAGACCAUAUAUGGAAGCAAUAGCUAAAAGGCAUGGAUCUUUUUAUAAAUGUUAUGUAUAAAACAUUAAAGUCUUAUAAUUAAGAUUAUACUGCAAAAGCACAAAUGACGAAAUUGAAAUCAAAUAUAAAUGCAGCACAGUAAAACACUAAUCUCGGAUCAAAAGGGUCCCCAGCCUCCUUCCUCACUGAAUCAAUAAAUAGUUGUAAACUUCAGAGUAUUAUUUGUUACUCUUGUCCAUAACAAUAUUUUUAUGGAAUAAAUUUUUUUAAAAUUUUGUCUCAUAAUAGAUAAUUUUUUAUUUACUAAGAAGGAUUUAAACAAGAUUAUGUUUUCUUCAUCACUGCACAAUUGAUUAAAGAAAAACUUCAUGAAUACAAACACUUGUGAGCUCAUGUAUUAAUGAGUGCACACAAGGGUAUACAUCGAGAAAGAUGAGAAUUGAAAAUUUGAAAUUAUUGUAAAAUUGAUAGAAAAAUAAUGAUUUUACCUAAUUUUAAUCUAGUUUUAUCAUUUUUUUAAAAUUUAACUUAAUUUUAGAUGAUAAAUAUAUAUUUAUUUAUAAAAUCAUAUAAUUUAAGACUCUUGAUUUUUCCUGCACUUUCCAGAGCCCUUGCAUUGCCUUGUCAAAAUUCAAAAGGGUCAAAAAUAAUUUUUUAACAAAAAAAAUAUGAAAAAAAAGAAAGUCUCUUGAUCACAUAUUUACCAAAUAGAAUGUACUAGAUGCUAUGCCCGCGUGAUGCCGCGGGCUUGUAGCAUGUUUGUGCGUUGUUGUAGAUUUGUGGAAAAAAUAAAAAAAAAAUAUGGAGAAAAACUGUUGCAAUCCACAAUGUUUUCAAGGAAAAACUAUAAAGCAAAAUUCUUAAAUAGAUUAAUAUUUUAAAAAUAAACUGAACAAAGAAAAUUUUGGAAAAAAUCAUAACAAAAAAAGUGAAAGGAAAAAAAACCAUGCAGAGAAACACUAUAGCAAUCUAUAGUGUUUCAUGAGGAAAUCUAUAGUUUUAAUUCUCAACUAACUCAAUAUUAAAAAUAAAAGAAUCGAUAAAGAUAAUUUAAAAAGAAUCAUAAAAAAAAAUCAUGUGGGGGAACACUAUAGCAAUCCACAGUGUUUUAAAGAAAAAAACUACGAAGCUAAAUUCUCAACCAGCUCAAUAUGAAACAAUAAAAUCGACAAAGACAAUUCUGGAAAAAAAAAUCAUAAAAAAAUAAUUAAAAAAAAUCAUGUGGGGAAACACUUUAGUAAUCCAUAGUAUUUUAAAGAAAAAAAACUAUAAAGCUAAAUUUUCAACAGCUCCAUAUUAAAAAAAUAAAAUCAACAAAAACAAUUCUGAAAAAAAAACACAAAAAAUUGAAAAAAAAAGAAGAAGAAGACAAUUUUGGAAAAAAAAUAAAAAAAAAGGAAAAAAAACAUGUAGGAGAAAGUUAAAGUUGAACUCUCAACUAGCUCAAUAUUAAAAAAAAAAUUGACAAAGAUAAUUUUGAAAAAAAACAUGUGGAGAAAUACCGUAGCAAAACAAAAACCUUUUGAGAAAACAUUGUAGCAAUUCACAGUGUUUAAAGAAAAAAACUACGAAGCAAAAUCGACAAAGACCAUUUUGCAAAAAAAGAAGAAAAAAAUUCACAAAUUUUAAAGAAAAAAACUAUAGAAUUAAAUUUUUAAACAGUUUAAUAUUAAAAAAAAUCGACAAAGAUAAUUUUAAAAAAAAAUACAAAAACAAAAAAGAAUAAUAAAAAAAAGAAGACAAUCUUGGGAAAAAAAAUGUAACGCCCAAAAAAAGAAAAAAAACAAAAAAAAUAUGGGGAAAAAAGAAAAAAAAGAAAUACAAAACAAAACAAAAAUAAAACAGAUAAAAAUAAAACAAAAAAUAAAACAUGUAGAAAGCUACAAAAAAGCACGGGAAAUAAUGAAAAUAGAAGGCAUGAAGAAAGCUACCCUACACAUUUUAGAGUAUUGUUAACUAGUCACCAGCCAAAAAUCCCUUAAAACCUAUGAAUGAAUCAACAUAAAUAUGAACACAAACAAAAAGAAAAAAUAGUUUUUAUUAUGCUGAAACUAAUUUUUUUUUUAUUUUAAAAAAGUUGAAUUGAAAGGUGGAUUAGAUGCAGUCCCUUUCCCUUUAACACAAAUUAGCAAAUCAUCAAACAAGAACAAAAAAUUAAAAAAAAAAAAAGUGAACUUUGUGGACCAAUUAACAUGUUCUUUUAAAUACUAAAAACUACACCAAAAAGAGAAAUCACUUUCAUGUUGUAAAAGAGAAAGUAUCAAACUAUUGGCUCUUUCAAAGGAUCUCAAGGCUGAGCUUGCUCUCCUUCGCGUUGCGAAGGGCGGUGCUCCUAACAAGCUCUCUAAGAUGUAAACACUCACAGUCCCCGUCCCCGUCCUCAUCCUUUUCUGCCUUUCUGUUUUCUUUUUUUCACUUAAAUGGAUUAAUUGACGAUCUAGUUCUGUGUUAAGUUUAAUGUGUUCUUUUUUAGGUCUUGACUUGUGGAUUGAGGCAAUGUUUGAUUUGUUUUAUUUUUUGGAUUUUAUCAAGCUGGAUUUGUUCUUAGUUGUUCGUUUAAUAUCCGAUUUAAGCUACAUCAACUUGCUUUAUUGAUUUAGGUAGAUUAUGGUGUCAUUUUAGGCCAUUUGAGCUGCUUUCUAUAAAGAAAAUUAAAAUAAAAAUCAUUUGUUCUUAAAAAAAGUUGAAUUGAUUUCAAGAAUCUAGCUUGCAAUUUUUUUGGGGGUGAUGGAUUUGCUUUUGAAAUGCGAUUUUGUGGGCUUGAUGUAGGUAAAAUCCAGAUUAAAGAUGAAGCAGCUGCUGUUUAUUGGAGUUUGGUGUCCAACAAUGUUGUUCAUUGUGUAUAGAACCACAAUAUAUUAACACACUGAGGUAUGGUUUGGAAUUUCGAUAACUUCUUGUGUCAUUUGUUGCUCCAUCUACAGCGUUUCUGUUAUUGAAUUUACCCCUAGAUACAAAUUAAGCUGCUUUUUUUUUGUUUUUUACAUUGAAAAUAGGUUCAGCUCUAGCUUUCUGUGUUUUAAUGGUGCUACUAAUUCUGUUUCAAAAACUUGCUGCCUAGUUUUCCUCCACCACUGUCAGAUGGAAGAAGAAUUGUACCCCGUUGACAUAAAGGUAAUUUCAGAACUAUCAAUUAAAAUCCCAAAGUACUGUUAUUGUUCAAUGUGUUCAUCGUUAUCUGAAGAUGAUUCCGAAGAACACUAACUGCAGGUAGCAAAAGAAUACCCAAGGGAAGUUACUCAACAACUUUGAAACAUAUUGUACUGGUGAUUGUUUGCCUUGAUUCUUCCUCUGAAAUAUUGACUCUUCCGUGAAACACGCAGGCUUCAAAAGGCUGUAGUUGAGUUCUUCUAUAUAGGUGGAUAACAGAAGGAUAUAUUGUCCAGUUCUUCCUCUGAUUUUGCUAGAAAGGCCUUUCUUGAUUUUUUCUGCAAAUUAAUUGAAUUAUUGGCAGCUUGAUAUCCUAUGGUAUUUAACUAAAUAUGAAAAUCUGGAGAACCCUACGGUUGAUUGGGAUGUAGUAGGCAACAUUGUUGGCUUUCAAGUAUUCUACACAAAGGUACAUGGACCAUAUACUGGUUAAGAGGCAUUCUAUGUCAUCUUGGAUCAUACACAAGCCUUUCCAUUUGUGAGGUUCUAAUCUGGUUAACAUCACAUCUCGGUAAUUAUUUAUGGGCUUGAAAAACUUUUGUUAAAAAACAACUCCAAAAAUCAAAAGAUACCUUGAAAAGCCUACUAAAAAUGAUAAAAAAAUAACUCACGUUUAUUAUAAUAAAAGCCCAAAGGAAACCUUGAAAAGGUCGACCCAAUAAAAAAACCCAGAUAAAAGCUCAACUAAGUAAUAACAGUUUGAACCGGUUUGAGACCAUAAAAAACUGAGCUGAGCAGAUUUGAAAUUGGUUGGUUUGAACUGGUUUUUGGUUUGAUUUGAUUCAAAACCUUUACAGUUUACACAGUCCAUCAUCCUUAUCCUGAUAGCAUGAAACAUCUCUAAUUUUAUCAAAGAAAGUAUCUCUAAUUCAAGGAUUUAUGUUUGAGUUUGGUAUAUUUAUAUAUGCUCGGGCUCAGAGCCAAAAGAUGUUAACAUUUCAUUGUAGUGAAUGUGUCGAUAUGACAUGGACAAGUAGCAUAUAAUUAACCUCAUGUUGAGCAGCACAGCAUCCAACGUCUUUCCUCCAACAAGUUCAGUUCACACUUUCCGUCCAUGGAUUUCAGUAGCACUACAGCAACCUAAUCUUGAUAAAAAUAAAAAUCAAAUACAAAAGAAAAAGAAAACUAACCAAGAAUUAUAGUAGGAAAGAGGCACACCUGUGUGUUGAAUUUUGAACAGCCCCUUUGUUUCUGUAAUGAGACUGUGCUCUUCCCAAAUCAGGUCACCUUUCCUGUAGUCUGGAUGACCUGAAUCCAGAGCUCCAGCCACCCCAUUUCCAUUUAAAGGCUGCAUAGUUUUGAAUAGCCACAUAUCAGUUUGAGCUAAAGUCCUUGGGAAAAUUAUAUAUAUAUCAACGAACAGCAAGAUAAAGAGAAUGAGGAGGUAUGAGUGACUUACCAAACCGGGCAUGUAGGAAUCGAUAUAAGACAAAUACAGAUUCUUGACUAGAAUUCCAGGAGUUUCUUCUGGUACCUUAAGUUUGAUGGUACUAGCGAUCACCUCCACGUCUGAUUUCUUAGGCAGACACGAGAUGACAUAGUUCUUCAAUAUCACCUGCUUGUUAGCUACUUCUUCAUCCCACUCAUUGCCAUUAUGUGCCAGAAAUUCCAAAACGAUAAACACAGAGAGAGAAGUUUGCAAUCUCUAUAUAUAGAUAAGAUAUACAACUGUUUCUGCUAGCUUUUUAUCCAUGUUGUUUUUCUCUUUUGCAUUGCUAGAAAAAUAGGGUGCAAAAUGGCUAUGAAAAUCAUGUUUUUAGCAAAAAAAAAUUGCCAAAACAAUCAUGUCAGGUUAUUGAUUAAAAAAAAUCCAAGAGAAUAGUUGAAGAAAAGCACCAAUUUCAAAAACUCAUGCUUGUUUGGAAAUCACUAAAUUAAAUUGAAUUAGAAAUUUUUAAUAAUUUCUCAUAUUUAAAAUAUUUUUAGUGUUAAGAAUUAAAUUUUGAAUAGGAUUCAAUCCCUAAAAAUUAUACCAAAUUAAAGUAAAUUAGAUAUUAACCCCUCUGAUUUACAAAUUCCAAAUAGAAAAAAUUUAAUGUUAAAACUAUUUUUUUUAAAAUACUUAUCUAUUUUUUACAGAACUUUGAAGAAAUGAGAAGAAGAUGAUGAGGGUAAUAUAAAAUAUAAAAUGAAUUGAAUUCUAUUUAUUUUAAAUGUAUAAAUUUACAGAACUUUAAUGUUAGUUCUAUUUAUAAAUUGAAUUCAAAUUAAAUAAUAUAAUUAAAUUUAAUUAUGGUGGAAAAUUGAUUCCACAGAAGCGCUUGUUAAGAAAUCAUCUUAAAAAAACCAUUAUUAUAGGUCAAACUUAAAAUUAAGUUAUAUAACUAACACAUAUUAUAUGAGAUGGUAGCAAAUAAUCCAAAUUUGCUAGACUCAUGUAUUAGUAAGUAAACAUAACUGUAUGCAUGGUGGUUGAAGAUAAGAAUUGAAAAUUGAAAAUUAUUGUAAAAUCAAUUGAUUUUAUAUGAUUUUAGUUUAGUUUUAUUAUUUUUUAUUUUAACUCAAUUUUAAACAAUAAAUAUAUAUUUACUUGUAAAAUUAUAUAAUUUUACAAGUUAACUCAUUAUUUUAAUACCUUUUAUUUUUCCUACACUUUUGGGAGCCCUUGCACUGCCUUGUUAAAAUUCAAAAGGGUCAAGAUGUUUUUAACAAAAAGGAAAAAAAAAAAAAAAAACCACCGGAUCACAUUACCAAAUAGAAUGUACUAGACUAGUCACCAGCCGAAAAUCCCUUAAAACGCUAUGAAUGAAUCAACAUAAAUAUGAACACAAAGAAUUGAAAGGCGGAUUAGAUCCAGUCCCUUUCCCUCCCUUUAACACAAAUUAGCAAAUCAACAAACAAGAACAAAAAAAUUGUUAGAGCUGUCCAAUGUAUAUGCAAGUUGUCCGUGGAAAUUUAUACUUUUUGAUUAUGAUGUUAUUGUCGCAUAGAAAUAAUAAUUUUAUUUUUUAAAAAAUAAUAAAUAUAUUUUAUAUGAAUAAAAUUAAUAACAAGUUUUAAAUAAUGUUAAAGAUAAAAAAAUGUUUUUUUAAAUAAUAAAUAUAUUUUCUAUAAAUAAAAUUAAUAACAAGUAUCAGACUAGACCCACAAACCAAAAAGCAGGGCUGAGAGAUGGAAUUCAGCAGCCAAAUAAAUGGAGAUGGAGAGUGAGGGCCAGGGUCUUCGGCUCUUCUGAGUUUCCCGUGUGGAAAAUUAUGCCAUUUGAUUGUGAUGCUGCCAUACCCGCAAACCAAAAAGCUGAAAGUAUAUUAAAAUAAUUAAAAAAAAUUAAAAAUAUAUUAAUUUAAAAUUAAUAAAAAUACAAAAAAAAAUUAAAUUUUUUAAAUAAUAUUUUUAAAAUACAAAAACAAUUUACUAAAAAAUAAAGAAGGUUCAUGGUUAGUAGAUAUGGGAAGCAAAGUGGUUGAGCUUCUUGAGCGAAGGUUCAAGAUUUCACAGUUUUACCGACGGACCAAUUCCGUCAGUGUGUGAUUAGAAGUUCGUCGGUGAUUUUUUUAACGACGUCAUCACCGACGGAUUACGUCCGUCGGCUUUCUCUUUGUUGGUGAUUCCCCCUUCCGUUGCUAUAUCGGUCGGAAAAACAAAAAAACCAUUUGCCAAUGGUUUUACAGACGGAAUUUGCGCGCCAAAAAAAAAAGAUUCCCUCUUGAAAUAUACCGAUGGAUUUUUAUUCCUUCGGUGAUAUUGUGAUUGACCGACGGAAACUAUCCGUCGGUAAAUACAUCGGUGAGUGUAUGAAAUACCGAUCGAAUAUGUUCGUCUAUAAAUUCGUCGGUACUGGUGGAAGCUACUGUUAAAUGCCGACGGAUUAAUUCCGUCGGUAAGUCUGUCAGUGAGUGUUUAAAAUACCGACCGAAUUCAUCCGUCGGUAAAAUCCUUGGUAAUAGUUUUUUUCUUAAUUUGUUUUUAAAAAAUUAUUUAGGAUAUAUAAUAUAAAACUAUAUAAAUUAAUUGUAAUACAAACCAAUUAUGCAAAUAAAAUUUAUAUUAAACAUAAAAAAAAAAAAAACAAAGUUAAAUAAUAUUUAUUACAAACUGAAUAUGUUUCAAGAAAAAUAUUAAAUGAAGUUUUAAAGGUAAAUAAUGUUGAUUACAAAUUAAUAUAAAGGUGGAGCUGGAGGAGGAGGAGGAGAUCCUGGAGGAGGCUGGUGGUUAAACGGCCAAAAAAGAUUAGGCGCACAUGUUCCACUAUUUGCCAUGUUCAUAAUCAUUUCGCGAAGCUGUUCAUAAGCCCUUUUUUGUUGUUCAUGAGCCGCUUCAUACUCCGCUUUUUGUUGUGCUUGAGACGCUUUGAGUUGCUCAGACUUCUCUCUUUGUUCCGCUCUUUGUUGUGCAUGAGACGCUUUGAGUUAUGCGUACUCCGCUUUUAGGUUAUCGUAUUUCUCGGUGAGCUGAGUCGUGUGUUGCUGCAAGGCCACGAACUCCUUAGAUUGGGAGCUCGAUAUUGAUUGGGAGCUCCCAACGGUUGAAACACUACGGGUCGACCGCAAGUUGUCGGCCGUAGUGUUGGAGAGCCCGUAAACCCGAUUUUUAUCGGGUCCACCCGACGAGCCAACCUCCAUCCACAAAUCCGGAUCGAAUUCUGGAUGGGUCAAAAUAUCAUCCCCGUAUCUCUCCCUCAACCGAUUAUUAUAGGUCUCCUGAAAAUAAAAAUAAAAAAUAAUCAUUAUAUUCAAUAUAAUAAACAUAAUAACUUACAUAAUAACUUAUAAAAUUAAAUGGUUGAACAAAGAUACCAUGAAAUGCUGAGCAUGGUUAUCAACGAACUGUUGCGCCCCCUUCUAGCGGUCUUGACUCCGCACGUGCGUCUCCACAAACAGCUCCAUCGGGCUCGGCUCACGUCCAAGAGACGCAGCCUAUAAUGAAAAAAGAUAUAUUAACAACAACUGAAUUUAAUGAUAUAUUUCAUUUAAAUUAAUCUUACCAUCUGUUUCGCAUGUGCAGCAAAUGGAACGGAGCCGCCAGUGUGCGUUGUCACCCUGCCAUGAAUUGGUCGAUUCCGGUUGCUAGCACCAGACUGUGAGCGUUGUGUGAACCGCUCAGACGUCACGUGCUCAAGAUAGUGCGGCCAUAUAUCUUCCGGGAUGUAUAUCGGUUUGAAAUCCCUCCAAACUGCAACAUCGUUCCAGCCUUGGAAACCCCUAUCCCUCGCGGUUGUUUUUGCCUUUUUUGUGCUUCAUACCAAAAAUCACGCAACCAAAAAUUACAUUUCGAAACAUAAAUUCUUGUCUAAAAAAAAUCCUGUAUUGUUUUCGAUCUUACCUAGUUGCCGCGUGAUUUUCCCACACCCUCCUCACAACAGUGUUAUGUUCACUGUCCCAGCAGAAUUUUUGUUGUGUAUAAAUAAACAAGUUUAAAUAAAAAUAAUAAUUUAUUUACAAUUAUAUUAAUAAGCUGAAAAUUAUAAAUUAAUACCAACCUCAAACCUGUUAAACCAUGCAUUGAUUUGAGGCAUCCAUUCAGGAUGCUUGGAUAUCUGACUCCAUUGAAACAAUGGAAUCUCCAUCGACGAUUUAAACACCGAUGAUAUUACUCAGGUGGCUUCAAUGUUUGUGAACCUGAAAAUAAAUGAAAUAAAUUCAAUAGUGAUUACUUCAUAAAUUAUGUUGUAAUUUAAAAAAAAAACUAAAACCUUAACAAACUUACAUUGAAAGGUCGUCCUUCCACUGUGCCUCGUACUUGCGGGUAAAUUGAUUCCGCUGCGAAGGCACGCCGCCUCUGCACUGUGAAGUACCGCUGGAAGAGGCAGCAUCGGUUGACGGCGUAGGUGGUGUAGGUGCCUCUUCUUGAGAGGCACCUAAGGAAAUAUCGUCCUCGCUGCUAGACGAACUAGCUGCGACCGUACUUGAUCGACUAGCUCUGGUUUUCAUUCUACGCAUCUACAUAAUUUGAUACAAAUAAUUAUAUAAUUAAAUUCAAAUGUAAAAAAAAAAAUUCGACAGCACCUCCCCUAUACCGGAUACUACCCAAAUCCACAAACCUGCACAUAUUAACAAUAGCCACAACCAAUUUACCCAAUCUAUACUAAUUAUUCCAACAUAUUCAAUUACUAAUCCUAAGGUAAAUUCAACAUUAAGAAUUACAAUUCAAGUAAUUAUUCAAUAAUUAUGCCAAUACAACAAAACAAUAAAUUAAAAAAAAACUCUAGAAUAACAAUCAAAAUAAAUGGAAAAAAUUAAACACAAAGCAUGCAAUAAUAGAGUAAAACUAAUAAUUAUUCCAACAUAUUCAAUUACUAAUUCUAAGGUAAAUUCAACAUUAAGAAUUACAAUUCAACAAAUUAUUCAAUAAUUAUGUCAAUACAACAAAACAAUAAAUUAAAAAAAAAAACUCUAGAAUAACAAUCAAAAUAAAUGAAAAAAAUUAAACACAAAUCAUGCAAUAAUAAAGUAAAAUUAAUAAUUAUUCCAACAUAUUCAAUUACUAAUUCUAUGGUAAAUUCAACAUUAACAAUAAAUAUUCAACAAAUUAACUAAUAAUAAUUAUGCCAAUACAACAAUAAAAAAUAUUCAAUAAAUUCAAAAAAAAAACUAUAGACUUUGGCAAUGAAUUAUGCAAAAAAAAAAACUAUAGACUUUAUCUACAUUACAAAAAAUACACCAAAACAAAAAAAAUAACCAAACAAAUAGCAAAAAAAAACCAUUAAAGUAAAAUGAAAUAGAGGAAACACUAACCUUUUAAACUGAUGGAGAUUCACGAUAAAAAAAAGCUUGAGAUCGCCUGAAGAACGGAGAGGAAAAGAAUGGUGAAAAACUGAGGAGAAGAGAAAAUGAACUGAAGAGGCGGUCGAGGGAGGUUAAAUGCCAAUUUUACCGACGGAUUCACCAACGUCUAUAAAAUUAAUUAUUAUUUUAAUUUAUUCCGUCGGUGAUGUGUUAAAAAUCCGUCGGUAAAUUUUGAAUUUCGCACCAAAUUUUUUAAUGGCCCUCCAUAUUUUUCGCAGUCCGUCGGUAAUCUAACGCGGUCAGAGAUGCAUUUAAUGCACAACCCUUUGAUAUUCGCGCAGUCCGUCGGGAAUUGUGUCGGUAAAAUUGACAACGUACCGACGACUAUAUAUUCGUCGGUGUGGCCGUCAGUGAUGUGGUGGCAUUACCAGUAAUUAUUUUCGAACUCUCUGUGAAAUGCCGAUGGAAUUAAGUCUGUCGGUGAUGUGGUGGGCAUUUCAAGUAAUUAUUUUCGAACUCUCUGUGACAUGCCGACGAAAUUAAGUCUGUCGGUGUGGCCGUCGGUGAUGUGGUGGCAUUUCAAGUAAUUAUUUUCGAACUCUCUAUGAAAUGCCGACGGAAUUAGGUCCGUCGGUGUGGCCGUCGGUGAUGUGGUGGCAUUUCUAGUAAUUAUUUUCGAACUCUCUGUGAAAGGCCGACGGAAUUAAGUCUGUCGGUGUGGCCGUCGGUGAUGUGGUGGCAUUUCAAGUAAUUAUUUUCGAACUCUCUGUGAAAUGCCGACAGAAUUAAGUCCGUCGGUGAUGUUGUGGCAUUUCAAGUAAUUAUUUCAUGUCACAAAAUAUAUCAUCCAUGAUCAAUAAUUAUUUCAUAAUUGUGGCAUUUCAACUAAUUAUUUCAAGUAAUAAAUAUUUUGUGUUUCAAAAUAUAUCAUCCAUAAUAUAAAUUACAUGAAAAAAAGGGUUUUACAUAGGGCUUCAUUUUGGUAGUUAGUCAGAAUUUUCUUCUUCUUCGUCAUCAAUUGAAUUGUCAUCACCUUCAUCGCAAUCUUCAAUAUGAAUAUCAUCUUCUUCAUCGACAUUUGCUUGUCCGCUAGAGCUCAAAACAAAAUUCAACACCUCUGCGUCAACAUCAACAAGACUAUCAUCGAAAACACGAAAAUUUGAAUUUUCUUCCAAUUCAAUCGAAGGAGCAACUCGAUAUGGUUCAACCACCUCACUAACUUGAAAGACUUCAUCUCGCACACUUGUGUCUUCGUUCUCAUCCUGAACAACCUCGACACGACCCCGGGGUUUCGUUUUUAAAACGGACAACCAAUCCACUCUUGAUCGAUCCUUUCUAAAUGAAGAGGUGUAUGUGUAAUAAAUUUGUUGACAUUGCUUUGCGAAAACAAAGACAUCGUUUAUGUUACGGAGUCUAGCUUUUGAGUUGAUUUCGACCAGACUAUAGUGCAGAUCAACUCUGAUUCCUUUGUCAGUCGUGUCAUACCAAUAACAUUUGAAUAAAAACACUAUAUUCUGCUCGUUAUGAUAUUGCAGUUCGACGACCUCUUCUAAUCUAUCAUAGUAGUCAACUUCUAACUCACUACUAGUGGAUCCCUUAACACAAACACCAUUGUUGUAUGUCUUUCUUCCUUGCCCGUAUUCUUCAGUAUGGAAAACAUAUCCAUUGACAAAAUACCCGUUGUAGCACUUACAUUUUCUUUCAGGCCCCAAGCUUAGUGAAGACAAUGACUUAGGUGCACUCCUUCCCAUUUGAUAAACCUUGUAUGUAAUGUACAUCAAUAAACAGUAAAUGAACGAGAAUCUCGUAAUGACAUGCAUAUGUACAGUAAUUUUGCAAGUUAGAAUGAGUUUGUGAUAGUGCUUACAUGUGUUCUGAACCACGUGACAAACUGCUCAUCUUGUAAUUGAAAGAUCUAGGAUUCGGUCAGCUGUGAGUUAUUGGAGAGCAAAUAUUGACGAUGUUGCCUGCAAGUGAUAAUGAGUGUAUGAUAUUACAAUAUAUAAUUAACACUAUAUUACUAACAAAGUUUAAUUAGUAUAAACUUACUAACAAAGUGAUAAUGGAGAUGUUAUUUUUUUUAUUUUUUUGUUGAAAAUUAGCUCACUAUCAUGAUAAGUUCUGGUAUAAAAAACUAGGCUUCUAAUAAAAAAAUACAUUUUCAUAAAAAUAAAAAUAAAUAAAUGAAUAACAAAAAAGAAAUAUUGGCUAAAGAAAUAUUUUUUUCCUUUAAAUUUAAAUUAUUUGAGUUAUUAUGAAUUUGUAUUUUAUUUUUUAAUUUUUAUUAAAAAACCGGUGGAGUUUGUCGUAAUCCAUUUUUGGGUCCCUGCAUAGAAAAGGAGAAAAUACAAAAAAAAACAAAUAAAUAUGUUAUCAAAAAAAUAUAACAGUGCAAAGAGGAUGCCAGAAUGCUCAUAAAAUGAUCAAAAAUUGGUUGAGGAGGUUUAAAAAUACAAAGAUUGAAAUUUGACAGUAUUUUGUUGACUGAUGAUAGCUCUGUUGACAAAGAAAAUUCAAUUUGAGGAAGAAAAGUCCAAAAUUAGAUUUUUAUGGACUCAAUUAAAUUUUAUUGAAGGUUUAAUUGAAUUUAUGGAGGUUUUGAUUGCAAGAAAAUUAAUUUUGGAGUUAAUUUGAGCUUUAAUUGGAAGAAAUUAAAGUUAUGGGGUCAAAUUAUAAUGUUUGGAAGUUAAUUUGGUUAAAUCAGAGGCUUAAUUACAUAAAUAUUGAAGUUUGAUGGCCAAUUAGAGGCUUAAUUGAAGAAAUCAGAAACCAAGGACCAAAAAACACAUAAAUAGAGGGGUUGUAAUUAAAACCGGAUCAGGGGCCCAAUUGAAAAAAUUAGAAGUUUAUUGCUCAAUUGAGGGUCAAAUUGCACUAAUUAGAGACCAAUGAUCAAUUUGGAAAAGGCAGCCAACUUCAGGGCUGCUGUUGGAUUUUUGGCAGGGGUGCAAUUGCAUUGAUUUUUAAAUCAAAAUUUGCAAUUUAGGACUCGAUUGAACAAAUCACAAAUUGAGGACUGCUUUGUAUUUUGACAUCAGUUGGCACCGUUUUCAUUUAAAUGAAACGGCGCGUUUUGUCCAAAACCGCCGUUUCAUACACUGUUAAAAAAAAAAGCCCGAAAAGGUGCCGUUUUGAACGGCACAGUAGCCUUUCUUCUUCCCUUGGACGCGCGAAGCAGGGGAAAAAGAAGAUUUUUCUUCCUUCCUCUGUCACCGCCAUCAACCUCUAUUUCUCACCAACUUCCCUCUCAAAAAGACGCUGACUUGCCAACCCACUUUCCACAUGUUGGAGGGGCAGUUAUGGGGCGGCAGCACAGUGGCCGCCCCAACCACAUCCUCCCCUGUUUUUGCCUAUAAAAAGAGGGGAGGAGAAGAAAAAAAAGCACAAGAGAGCAUAGAGGCGAGAUGACCGAAAAGAACAAAAAAAAAAGAAGGAAGAAGAGAUAAAGAGAAGAAGAAAAACUGACCCGAAAAAAGAACAAAAACAAAGGGGAGGGAAGAAAAAAAGAAAACAGAGGAAGAGAAGGGAGGAAGACGCGAGAACAGAAGAGAGAGGGUAGAGAAGAGAAGAGAAAGAAGAGAAAAGAGAGGGGGAAGGCCGAAAGAAAAAAAAAAGAAGCAGAAAAAAGAACGAAAAAACAGAGACGAAGGAAGAAGAAAAAAACAGGGGAGGAGCUGCCACCACACCGCCGGCCACUGCGAAUCCCCGUAGCCACCACCAGCGACACUGCCUGUCGCCUCCAGCAACUUCACCAACGACAGCAACACCGUAGGUCAACCCUUCUCCCCUUCUGUUUUUCUCCUGCGUCGUCCCUACCACUGUUCACACGGGCUGGGCUGAGCCUAGCCCAUGCAGUUGGGCCAGGUUCGGCCUAGCCUAUGUAUUUGGGCCUGGUCCUGCCCAUUUCAAAAAAAAAAUUAUUUUCAAAAUUGUGUUGUUUUUUUUUUCAUCUUUUGCUAUACGCCUUUUUGUUUAGUAUUGGAAUAUAUUUUUAUGUCGUUAAAUUCGGUAUUAAAAUACCCGAUUUUGAUCAAAAACUUCCAAAAAUACAAAAAAAAUUGAAAAAAGAGAAUUUUUUUUUUGCAUACGGCCAAGUGUCUCAAAGCUAAAAAAUCAUAUUGUGUUUUUCAUACACCAAAAAAAAAAUAAUGUUUUAGCAUGCAUUUUGGCUUUGAUAACCAGUUUAUUAAAGUCAAGAGAACAUUGACCAAAAUUUCAAAAACAACAAAAAUUUUAUUUUUUUUUGUUUUAGUAUCAGAGAUUAUGAAUUUAUACGUAAAACAUAUUCCUGAUAUUAAAAAGGUAUUUUUGUUGACGAUAUAGAACAUUUAGGUUUUACCCCAUUAAGAUAAGAACCUCCUUAUAGAGAAGGGCUUUUCUUGAAUCUUAAAUAGACGGACCAACAAUGAGACACCACAACCAAACCUUAGAAUUGAUCAGACAAAAUAAUGUAGUCUACCUCAGGUAGGGCGUAGUUGGGGUGCUAAUACCUUCCCUUUACGCAACUAGUCUCCGUACCCCAUCUCUAAGACCAGUUAGGGUUCCUAGUAACCAGAAUACUAGGUGGCAACUCCCAUUCUAAUUUUCUACUAAUAAAAGACAAGAAUUCCUUGUCUCUCCAUAUUUGCCAGAGAUAGACCACAUUUACAAUUUUUUUCCUUGAGUGGUGGACGAUCGUCGCGACGCCGCACAUGUGCGAUAGAGUUUAUUAGAAAACAAAAAUUUCAUGGCUUUGUCAAAUAAGAAAAUAAAUGCAUAAACAAGAAGAGAGAUUUUUGACUGAAUAAAUAUAUUUUUUACAUUAAAAUUUAAAUCAUUGAAACUCUUUGAGACAUUUUUUAAUCUCUGUAAAAUUAAAUAAAAAAUAAUUUUAAGAAUAGCCCUGUAACAUCAAAUAUGAAACUUUUCAAACAAUCACGACAAGAUUUCAUAGUUUAACGAUGGAAAUAUUCCAUCGGUGUGUGAUUCAGAGUUCGUCGGUAAUUUGUCAAUGGUUUUAUAGACGGAAAUUGCGCGCCAAAAAAAAAUUUCCCGCUUGAAAUAUACCGACGGAUUUAUUCCGUCAGUGAUUGUGUGAAAUACCGAUGGAAUACGCCGUCAGUAACGUUGUUGGUGAGUGUGUGAAAUACCGAUAUAAUAUAUCUGUCUGUAUAUUCAUCGGUGAUUGUCGCAGCUACUGUGAAAUGCCGACAGAUGGAUGUCGUCUGUAAAUGCGUCGGUAUUAUUGACAAAUGCCGACGGAUACAUUCCGUCGGUAAAACCCUCUGUGAUUAUUUUUCAAUAUGUUUUUAAAAAAUUAUUUAGAAUACAUAAUAUUAUAUAAAUUAAUAGUAAAAAACCAAUUAUGCAAAUAAAACAUCAAAAACAAAAAAAAAUAAAGUUAAAUAAUAUUCAUUACAAACUGAAUGUGUUUAAAAAAAAAUUAAAUUAACUAUUAAAAUUAAAUAAUAUUCAUUACAAAUUAACAUAAUGGUGGAGCUGGAGGAGGAGGAGGAGGCUGGUUGUUAUACGGCAAAAAAGGAGGAGGCGCACAUGGAUCUCCACUCUGUGAUGCCAUGUUCAUGACUAUUUGGCGAAGCUCUUCAUGAUUCGCUUUGAGUUCUGUAUACUCUGUCGAUAGGUGGUUGUAUUUUUCGGUGAGUUGAGCCAUGUGUUGCUUCAAGGCCACGAACUCCUUAGAUUGGGUGCUCGAUAUUAAUUAGGAGCUCCCAACGGUUGAGACACUACGGGCUGCCCGCAAGUUCUCGGUCAUAGUGUUGGAGAGCCCGUACACCCGAUUUUUAUCGGGUCCAUCGGACUAUCCAACCUCCAUCCACAAAUCCAGAUCGAAUUCCGGAUGGGUCAAAGGAUCGUCCCCAUAUCUCUUCCUCAAUCGGCUAUUAUAGGUCUCCUGAAAAUGAAAAAAGUAAUCAUCAUAUUCAAUUCAAUAAAAAUAAUAACUUAUGAAAUAAAAUGGUUGAACAAACAUAUCACAAAGUGUUGAGCACGGUUGUCAACGAAUUGUUGUACCCCCUUUUGGCGGUCUUGACUCCGCACGUGCGUCUCAACAAACAGCUCCAUCGGGCUCAGCUCAUGUCCAAGAAACGUAGCCUAUAAUGAAAAAAAAUAAUUAACAACAAAUUAAUUUAAUGAUAUAUUUCAUUUAAAUUAAUCUUACCAUCCGUUUUGCAUGUACAGCAAACAGAACGGAGUUGCCGGUGUGCGUUGUCACCGAGCCAUGAAUUGGCCGAUUCUGGUUGCCAGCACCGGACUGUGAGCGUCGUGUGAACUGCUCAGACAUCACGUGCUCAAGAUAGUGCCGCCAUAUAUCUUUCAGGAUGUAUAUCGGUUUGAAAUCCCUCCAAACCGCCAUGUCGUUCCAGCCUUAUAGACCUCUAUCUCUCACGGUUUUUUUUUGCCUUUUUUUGUGCUUCAUACCAAAAAUGACGCAACCUACUUCCAUAGCAAGAAAUUAGAUUUUGAAACAUAAAUUUUUUUCUAAAAAAAAUCUUGUAUUGUUUUCGAUGUUACCUAGUUGUCGCGGGAAAAACAUCCUCCUCACAACAGUGUUAUGCGCACUGUCCCAGUCGAAUUUGUCCUGUAUAUAAAUAAUUAAUUUUAAAUAAAAAUAAUAAUUUAUUUACAAUUAUAUUAAUAAUUUAUUAGAAAUAAGCUGGAAAUUAGAAAUUAGCACCAACCUCAAAUCUGUCAAACCAUGCAUUGAUUUGAGGUAUCCAUUCAGGAUGUUUGGAUACCUGACUCCAUUGAAAUAAUGGAAUCUCCAUCGAUGAUUUAAACGCCGAUGAUAUUACUCAGGCGGCCUCAAUGUUUGUGAACCUGAAUAUAAAUUAAAUUAAUGAAAUAUUGAUUAGUUGUUCAUAAAUUAUGUUAUAAUUUUUUUUUAAAAAAACUAAAACCUUAACAAACUUACAUUGAAAGGUCGUCCUUCCAAUGUGCCUCGUACUUGCGGGUGAAUUGAUUCAGCUGUGAAGGUACGCCGCUUCUGCGCUGUGAAACCGCGCUGGAAGAGGCACCAUCGGUUAACGGAACAGGUGCCUCUUCUUGAGAGGCACCUAAAGAUAUGUCAUCCUUGCUGGUAGAAGAACUAGUUGUGACCAUACGUGAGCGACGAGCUGUGGAUUUUGUUCUACACAUCUACACAAUUUUAUACGAACAAUUAUAUAAUUAAAUUCGAAUGUUAAAAAAAAAAAUCGUUAGCACCUCCCCUAUACUGGAGACUACCCAAAUCCACAAACCUGCAAAUAUUGACAAUAGUCACAACCAAUUGACCCUAUCUAUACUAAUAUUGUAUAUAACAUAACAUCUAUACAAAUAACAUCCACACUAAUUACAAGGUAAAUUCAACAUUAACAAUUACAAUUCAACAAAUUAUUCAAUUAUUAUGGAAAUACAACAAUAAAAUAUAUUCAAAAAAUUCAAAAAAAAAUUUAGACUAACAAUUAAAAUUAAUGGAAAUAAUUAAACACAAAUCAUGCAAUAAUAGAAUAAAAUUACUAAUUAUUCCAACAUAUUCAAUUACUAAUUCUAAGGUAAAUUCAACAUUAACAAUUACAAUUCAACAAAUUAUUCAAUUAUUAUGGCAAUAUAACAAUAAAAUAUAUUCAAUAAAUUAAAAAAAAUAUAGAAUUUAGGAAUGAAGUAUGCUUACCUUAAUAAUGUGUUUAUUUCGAGAAUUUAUCUACAUUAUAAAAAUAUACCAAAACAAAAAACAUACCAAAAAUAACAAUAGCUAAAACAAAAAACAAAUAAAAAUUUAAAAUAUUAAAGAAAUGAAGAAGAGGAAGUACAUACCUUUUAAUUUGCUGAAGAUUGAACUAAAAAUUAGAAGCCAAAAACACAAAAAUCUUGAAGGAAAUAAAAGGAAAAAACAAAACUGUGAAAUGAAGGAGAAGAAAAAAUGAACUGAAAGGGCGGUCUCUGGGAUUUAUAGCGCAGUUUUCCCGAUGGCUUCAUCGACGAAAAUAAAAAUUAAUAUUAUUUUAAAUUAUUCCGUCGGUAAAUUUUGAAUUUCGCACCAUCAUUUUUAAUUACCCUCCAUAUUUUUCGUGGUCCGUCGGAAAUUCUGUCGGCAAAAUGACGCGGUCAGAGAUGCAUUUAAUGCAUCGCCCUUUGGAAUUCGCACAUUCCGUCAGUGAUUUUGUCGGUAAUAUUGACCCGCUGACAACAUACCGACAGAGUUAAAUCCAUCUGACAAUGCGUCGGUGAUUGUGGUAUUUGCAGUAAUUAUUUUUCAACUCUCUGUGAAAUGCCGACGGAUUGUGGGACGUCGGAAGGUCGUCGGUGAAUGUGGCAUUUGCAGUAAUUAUUUUUCAACUCUCUGUUAAAUGCCGACGGAUUGUGGACGUUAGAAAGGUCAUUGGUGAUUGUGGCAUUUCCAGUAAUUAUUUUUCAAUUCUCUGUGAAAUGCUGACGGAUCUUAGUCCAUCGGUAUGGACGUCGGUGAUAGUGCAGUGUACAAGUAAGAUUAUAUUUGUAUUGUCUAUUUACCUUCCUACAAACACUUAAAUGAUAAACUGUCCAUCGCACAAAAUAAUAACAACAGUGUUUAAACAAUACAUAAACUUUGUUGUAACUCAUUUUUGGGUCCCCACACAAAAAAAAUAUAAAAAAAUAAAAAAAAUAAAAAAAUAUUAGCAAAAAAAUAUAACAUUUAAAAAAGGAUGCUAGAAUGCUCAGAAAAUGGUCAAAAAUUGGUUGAGGAGGUUUAAAAAUACAAAAAUUAAAAUUUGAUAGCAUUUUGUUGACUGAUGAGAGCCCUAUUGACAAAGAAAAUUCAAUUUGAGGAAGAAAAGUCCAAAAUCAUAUGUUUAUGGACUCAAUUAAAUUUUAUUAAAGGUUUAAUUGAAUUUAUGGAGGUUUUUAUUGCAAGAAAAAUUGAUUUUGGAGUUAAUUUGGGCUUUAAUUGGAAGAAAUUCAAGUUCUGGGGUCAAAAUAUAAUUUUUGAGAGUUAAUUUGGUCAAAUCAGAGGCUUAAUUGCAUAAAUAUUGAAGUUUGAUGGCCAAUUAGGGACUUAAUUGAAGAAAUCCAAAACCAAGGACCAAAAUGAAAAAGGCGCGUAAAUGUAGGGGCUAUAAUUAAAACGGAUCAGGGGCCUAAUUGAAGAAAUUAGAAGUUUAUUGCUCAAUUGAGGCUUAAAUUGCACUAAUUCGAGACUAAGGACCAAAGUGAAAAAGGCAGCCAACUUCAGGGCCGACUAUUGAAUUUGGCAGGGAUGCAAUUGAAUUGAUUUUUAAAAUCAAAAUUGCAAUUGAGGACUUUAUUGAACAAAUCACAAAUUGAAGACUGAUUUGGACUUUGACACGUUUGGCGUCGUUUUCAUUUUAAAUGAAACGGCGCGUUUUGCCCAAAACGGCGCCAUUUCAUGCACUGUUUACAAAAAAAAAAAGACCAAAACAGUGCCAUUUUGAACGGCACUGUAACCUUUCUUCUUCCCCUGGACGCGCGAAACAGGGGAAGAAGAAGAUUUUUCUUCCCCCUGUUUUCACCACCUUCCCUUCCCCCGAUGACCCAAAAAGACGCCGACUAGGGACCCUCCACCUGCACAGCUUUCCACGUGUUAGAGUUUGGGGAGGAGAGGUGUCCCUAGGGUGGUAGAGGGGCGGCUGAACAGUGGCUGCCCCGUCCACCCUACACCCCUGCGCCAUUGACUGGGCAGGGGUGGAGGUCUCCCUUCUCCCCUCUAAAUACAGGGGAGAAAGGAGACACAUAAGAGAGGACAAAAAAAGAAGAAGAAUAGAAGAUAAGAGAAGAAGCGAGAACAGAAGAGAGAAAAAAGAGGAGACCGAGAACAAAAGAAAAAAAAGAGAGGGACGAGAGAGAGACAUAACAGAAGAGAGAAUAGAAUAGAGAAUAGGGAAAAGAACAGAAGAAAAGAAAACGAAAAAAAAAACAGAGGCUCUUGCCUUUAUACAGUAAGGAAGAAGAAGUAGGAGCAUCACCGACCACCGUCUCCACCGCCGUGAGCCGCCGCUGACGACAACAGCCACACCUCCUCUCGCCGGGUACGUCUCUUUCCUUCUCUGCUCCAUACAUAAUUUUUCUUCCAUUGGCAUGCAGAACAUAAUUCACGUUCUGCAGCCAAUGAUAAUAUAAUGGGCUAGCCUUGGCCCAUUUUGCAUUUUGGGCCGGUGCCGUUCCAUUUUGUUUUAGGCCGGUGUUGGCCCGUUCCAUUUUUUGUCGAGCCGUUGGCGGCCCAUAUUGUUGUAUGUUGGGCCGUGCUGGCCCAUUCCAAAUAAAUACACCAUAAAAGUACUUCUCCGAUAUUAAAAUACUAGUUCUCGUCAAGACUUCCAAAAAUACAAAAAAAAUUGAAAAAAAGAAAAAAAAUGUUUUUGUGCAUACGACCAAGUGUCUCAAAGCUAAAAAAUUAUAUUGUAUUUUUCAUACACUAAAAAACAAUGUUUUAGCAUGCAUUUUGGCUUUAAUAACCAGUUUAUUAAAGUCAAAAGAACAUUGACCAAAAUUUCAAAAACAACAAAAAUUUUGUUUUGUUUGUCUCUUAGUAUCCGGGGCAUGACAUUACACGUGAUGCGUAUUCUGGAUAUUUAAUUCUUUUUAGAUAAUAGAACGGUUAGGUUCUACCGCAUGAAGAUAAGAACCUCCUUAUUGAGGAGGGCUUGUUUUGAACCUUAGACAGACCAAUGAUUAGACACCAUAACCAAACUUUAAAAUUUUAUCAGACAAAACAAUGCAGCCCACCUUAGGUAGGGCGUAUUUGGGGUGCUAAUACCUUCCCUUUACGCAACCAGUCUUUGUACCCGAUCUCUAAGACUAGUUAGGAUUCCUAGUAAUCAGAAUACUAGGUGGCGACUCUUAUUCAAAUUUUCCACUAAUAAGAGACACAAGAAUUUCUUGUCUCUUCAUAUUUUGUCGGAAAUACACAUUUUCAUUUUCCCUGGAAGGUGGACGAUCGCUGUUGCUACCCAAUUUUUGACCCAUGUUUUUGAUAAAUUUUCAGAAAAAAUAAAAAAAAGGCAAAAAACAAUGAAAACCCUAAAAUUUGCAUUUUUGGUAUAUUUGCAUCAUUUUUAGCAUUUUCAACGACAUCUCAGAAGAAUUUAAAUUUUAAAAGGUAUUUGGAACGCGUUCAACUUUUAACGCGUUAAUUUUACAAUCACUGAUUUUUCUUAUUGAGUCGACGUUGAUAUUGAUCGUUUUAAAAAAAUACAAAAAAAUAUCAAAAUUGAAAUUUACAAAAAAAAAAAGAAAAGAAAAGAAAAAGAAAAGUUGAGGGACUAGUUUGAAAAUAUGGCAACAUUUUGCCAAUAAAUACUAGUCUACAGUAAAAAAACGGGGAGAGAAAAAUUUACACGCAUGGAGGCGGAGGAAAUUUUGUGAGAAAAAAAAGAAAAACCCUACAGCAAAAAAAAAACCUAGAAAGCUAAACCCUUUCUCCUCCUGCAAGCCGCCGGCCCCUCCCUUUGAGACCAAAGAACCCCUGACUUUUCUCUUCUUGAGGCCGCCCCUCCCAUCUCCGGGGGGGGGGGGGGGGGGGGGGCUCUCCAUCUUCCCGGAAAAAGGGGAGAACCCCACACAAAUACACAGCUGCUGGCCGCCCUUCCUCUCUCUUGGGACCAAAACCAGAGAAACCCCUGGCUGAAGGGGGCUUUUGAACAGCAGCCGCGCACUCUCCAGCCUUCUCCCCUCAGCCACGGUCUCCCUCUUCUGGCCAACCACAACCAUUUCCCUCUCCAUCACCAGCAGGCCUCUGCUUGCCUCACCGCCGGUCAAAGAAGAAAGAGGGGCUCACUCUCUCAUCUCCAUCGCCAGGUCUCCUCCAUUCGCCCCCCCAGCGGCGGUCAAGACAGCAGCCACCGCCCUCCUCUUCCUCUGCUUUUCUUCCCCAAAACCGUUCCCCUGCUUUGUGAUUUUCGCCCCCAAAGCCAGCCGGCCGCGCCCCUCCUCUGGCCGUCGCUCUCCCUCGCGGCCAAGAAAAUCGCAAGAGCCCCCACGGACGACAGCAGCAAGGCCAACCACCGCUGCCACCAACAGAAGCGAAGACCAUCAACGCAGCGACCACCGCCUACAGCCCACUCCACAACCACCAGAUCUGCCGUUUAAAGCAGGAAAGAACAGCCAAACCAGAAUAGAAAAACAGAUCUGUAAGGGGGGAGAAGCAGGUCCAAAAAAGAAAAAAACAGAGCCGUAAAGAAGAAAGAAAAUGAAAAUCAAAUACCUUGUUGCCUUUUGAGUAUUUUUGCAGGUCACAACCGGCGGAGAACGGCAGAAGGGAGGAGGUUGUUCCGGAUCCCCUGGUCUUCUCGGAUGUACUUGUGGCGGCGCGAGAACCCACUCGCCGCCACUGUUCCGGCGGAUCCCAGAAGACGUUCCCAGCAAUUCCUGGGGUUUAUUUUGUAAUUUUUGAAUUGUAUUUGAUUUACAUUGAAUUUUGUUAUUGUAGAACAUGUAAAAUGAUGUAUGAGAUGAUCAUAGUAAAAAAUGUGGUGUGUGUGGGUGUUUGUAUUUUUAAUUAUGUUAUUGAAUUAUAUAAAUAAAAAAGAUAAAAAGAAUUAAGUGUUUAAUUUAAAUAUGAUUAAAUUCCUGAAGGACAAAUAAAAUCAUGUUGUAUUUUUUAUGAAAAUAUAAGAAUAUGUUUCUAUAUAUAUUCUGGGAUUUAAUAACUAAUUUAUUAAAGCUUUAGAAUUUGAUUAAUAUAAUUUUUUUAAAUCACAUUAAAUCGCAAAGCAGCUUACCUCAGGUAGGGUGCGUUAGUGGUGUUAAUACCUUCUCUUGCCACAACCAGUCCUUUAUUCUUGAAUUUUUGACAACGACCAGUAUAUUUAGGUUUCAUAGUAGCCUUCAAUCAAAUACUAGGUGGCGACUCUCAAAGAACCAAUCAAGCAAAUGAACGAAAAUCGCCAAACAGAUGUUGCGCGGGUGACGUGCGACAAUCGCCGCGACACUGCACACGUGUGACAAACUUAUAAAAUAAUGUAUAUUACAUGAAAAAAAUGUUUUACACAAGGUUUCAUUCUGAUAGUUAGUCAGAAUUUUCUUCUUCAUCGUCAAUUGAAUAAUCAUCACCUUUAUCGCAAUCUUCAAUAUGGAUAUCAUCAUCUUCAUCGACACUUGUUUGUCCGCUAGAGCUCAAAACAACAUUCAACUCCUCUGCGUCAACAUCAACAAGACUAUUAUCGAAAAUAUGAAAAUUUGAAUUUUCUUCCAGAUGUAUCGAAGGAGCAACUCGAUAUGGUUUAACCAACUCACUAACUUGAAAUACUUUAUUUUGUACAUUUGUGUUUUCGUUCUCAUCCUGAACAAGCUCGACACAACCCAUGAGUUUCGUUUUUAAAACAGACAACCAAUCCACUCUUGAUCGAUCCUUUUUAAAAGAAAAGGUGUAUGUGUAAUAAACUUGUUAACAUUGCUUUACGAAAACAAAGUCAUCGUUUAUGUUGUGGAGUCUAGCUUUUGAGUUGAUUUCGACCAGACCAUAGUGCAGAUUAACUCUAAUUCCUCUGUCAGUCGUGUCAUACCAAUAGCAUUUGAAUAAAAACACUCUAUUCUGCUCGAUUUGAUAUUGCAGUUCGACGACCUCUUCUAAUCUACCAUAGUAGUCAACUUCUAACUUACUACUAGUUGAUCCCUUAACACAAACACUGUUGUUGUAUAUCUUUUUUUCAUGCUCGUAUUCUUCAGUAUGGAACACAUGUCCAUUGAUAAAAUACCCGUUGUAGCACUUAACUUUUCUUUCAGGGCCUAGGCUUAGUGAAGACAAUGACUUAGCAGCACUACUUCCCAUUUGAUAAACCUUGUAUGUAAUGUAUAUCAAUGAACAGUAAACGAGAAUCUCAUAAUAGCAUGCAUACAAUUAUUUUACAAGUGAGAAUGAGUGCGUGAUAGUACUUACAUGUGUUCUGAACCACAUGGUAAAUUGUUCAUCUCGUAAUUGAAAGAUCUAGGAUUCGGUCAGCUGUGAGUUAUUGGACAACAAUAUUGUCGAUGUUGCCUGAAAGUGAUAAUGAGUGUAUGAUAUUACAAUAUAUAAUUAUUAACAGUAUAUUAUUGACAAAGUUUAAUUAGUAUUACACAUAUAUAUAUAUACUUACUGAAUAAAAGGUCUCAGCUCAUCACAGUUAAAUAGAACAUAAUUGUGUGCUUGUUUGAACUCUAUUUUCGACAAAUAUCUUCCUCUUAUGACAUUUUUAGGUAUGGGUCGUCCAAGAUUGGAGAAUAUUGACAAGUUCUCACUAGAAGGCACUUCACCGCCAUCAUCAUGCCAUGGAACGCAAUUGAUUCUCGUUUUCAGAUGAGGUUCGAAAUAGUACGAGAUAACUAUUAAGAUCUCCUCAACAAUAUAGGCCUCACAUAUCGAAGCCUCAACAUGUGCCUUGUUCUUAACCUUUUCUUGAGAUUGAACAAGUAACUGCAUAUAUUAAAUUAAUCAAAUAUUUUCAAUUAAGAAAAACAAAGAAAAUACUUUUAUAUAUGAAUUACAUUGCAACUGUAAUAUCUAACCAUUCGAAUGGGUACAUCCAUCUAUACUGGACCGGUCCUCCAAGUUUUGCCUCGAACGGUAGAUGUAUGAGGAGAUGCUCCAUUGAGUCAAAAAAUGAUGGAGGGAAUAUCAUCUCAAGUUUGCAUAGUGUUUCGACGAUAUUCAUUUCAAGCCUCUCAAUAUGAUCAACAUUCAACUUGCUGGAACAUAUAUCUCUAAAGAAAUAACUAAGCUUCGUGAGUACAUCCCAUAUCCCCUUUGACAACCAAUCAUGAAAAACUAAUGGGAUGAGUGUUUGCAUAAACAUGUGGCAGUCAUGACUCUUCUUUCCAUACAAUCUGCAUUCCUCCAUAUUAACUAGCCUUGAUAUGUUCGAGGCAUGUCCAUCCGAAAAAUGCAGACUCUUAAGCCAUUUGUAGACUAGUAGUUGUGUGUUUUUCUCUAACACGAAGCUUGCUCUUGGUUUUGCGACCCGUGACUCAUCACAAACCAACUCCAUAUUUUUACGGUUACAGAACAAAGCUACAUCCAAUCUAGCCUUAAUGUUGUCCUUUGUCUUCUCCUUCACAUCCAUGACGGUGUUGAAAAUGUUCUCAAAUAUGUUCUUUUCAAUGUGCAUGACGUCAAGGUUAUGGCGGAGAAAAUUGGUCUUCCAAUAAAGAAGCUCUCAAAAGAUACUUCGCUUUACCCAAUUAUGGGUCAAACUAAAACUAGGAAACUUCUGCUUACCUGAUUGGAGACCAAAUAUAAUGUCACCGUACUCUGAUACAACAUCAUGCAAUUCUUCACCAGCAAGACGUAGGGGUGCAACAUCCUUUUCAACUCUGCCAACAAAGAAAUCUUUUCUGUUAUUUCUGUACCUGUGAUUAUGUGGCAAGAAACGACGGUGACAGUAAAGAAAAGAAGCUUCACCUCCGUUUGUUAGCAUGAAUGCCUUGUUGUUUUCCAUGCAGUAUGGACAUGCUAGUUUCCCAUGCGUGCUCCAACCAGAAAGCAUUCCAUAAGCUGGAAAAUCAUUGAUAAUCCAUAUCAAAGCCGCCCUCAUAAGGAAAUUUUGUUUCCUCGAUAUAUCAUAAGUCAAAGCUCUGGAAGACCACAACUGCGCCCACUCAUCAAUCAACGGUCGAAGACAAACAUCUAUAUUCCGGCCCAGGCUGCUCGGACCUGGUAUGACCAUAGAUAAAAACAUGAACUCUGGCCUCAUACACAUCCCCGGUGGCAAGUUAUAAACCGUCAGUAUAACCGGCCAACAAGAAUAAGGAGCAGCAAAUGACCCGAUGGGUUGAAUCCGUCUGUACACAACCCAAGAUGCACGUUCCUUGAUUCAGCUGAAAAGUGAGGAUGCACACUAUUAAAGUGUUUCCAUGCUUCCCGUCAGAAGGAUGCACCAUCACUCCAUGAACCGCAUGAUGUGAUUGGUGCCAUGUCAUGUGUUUAGCAGUCCUUGGUAACAUGAAUAACCUUUGCAGUCUAAGUGUGAUCGGGAAGUAUCUAAGUUUUUUAUAUGCCACGAGAGUCUUUCCUCUACCAGUUUUGGGUUUGUAACGGGAAUGCCCACAUGUCAUGCAUUCGGUCAGUUCAACAUUUUCAAGGUAGUAUAACAUGCAGAAGUUAGGGCAUAUGUCAAUUUUCUGGUAUCCUAAACCGAUGGGUUUCAUCAUGGAUCUGGCAGCAUAGAAGUUCUCUUUCAGCCUGUUCCCUUCAGGUAAAAUGCUUCUCGCUCAUUCAAUAAUCUUAUCAUAACCGGCCUCACUCAACCCGUGAUCUGACUUGAUGGUGAACACCUGUGCUACGGCUGAUAAUUUACUGUGGUUCGUGCAGCCAUCCAUAAUGGUUCGUCAGAAUCUUUCAACAAAUUAAAAAACCUAGCUGCAUCUGCAUUAGGUUUUUCUUCUACAAUUGGACAUUGACUGACAUUACCUUGAUUCAUUCUCAUUGCUUCCAUAACCAUAUUCUUGUAAGGAUUAGUGUUGUCAUUUGCCGCUUCAUGCACGUUGCUAGCACUAAAAGUUGACCCAACCACCCUUUCUCCCAUUCUCCUCUUACUAACAAAUACUUCUCCGUGUGCAUACCAACACUAGUAAUUCUCCAUAAACCCUUUGUGUAGAAGAUGCAUCAUUACAACAUCUGGAUGCAGAUACUUUUUAUUUUGACACUUCCUGCAUGGACACCUAAUACCGCCUCCAGUAAAAUUUCUGGGAAUAGAUAUUGUGAAAUUAAUAAAACUCUGAAUCCCGUUAUAAUAAUCCAUCAUCCGCAAUCCUUGAGGUGAAUCUUGAUACAUCCAUGAACGAUCAUCCAUGACUUGUAUCGAACCUCUAUAAAAUUAUGAUGACAACAUGUAUUAAUUAACUAUGUUAGGUAAAUAAAUUUGCAAAAAUAUUGGUUUACCUCGAGAUUAUCCAACAAACCAAUUACAACUUCUCAUAAAUAUGAAAUAUUCAUUAUCAAUUAUCAACGUCCAUACAAAUUAAUACAUAUAAAUUUAUGAAAAUUACAACUCCGCAAUACCAUUGAUAAAAAUUAAAACGGACCCGUUAAACAAGCUAUUAAGUAUUUCAAAACAACACAUGCAAUUCGGUAAUUCAAUAAAGUUUUAACAAUUUACAAAUAAAUACAAUUUUACAAAAUCUAAAAGAAACCAUAACAAGUAAAAAAUUAUACAUUCAUAUACUACAAGUUUGUUUGAGAAAUAACAUUAAACAUGUACAUAUACUAACAAAAUACAUAUACUAAAAAUACAAUAAAAUUGACAUUUAAAUGUUAAAAUUUAAAAAGAUAGAAUUACUUACAAAAACUGAUAAAAUCCGUUGGUAAAUCAGAACACGGAUGUUGUGACCACAGAACUUCAAGAAAUAUGACUUGUUAUGCUGAGAAGAGGGAGAUUUUUGUUGGGGGGGGUGGUUGUUUGUAGUAAGGGAGAGUUGGAAUGGGGAAGAAAAAGGAGAAAUAGGGGAGGAGAGGGUUGACAGAGUGGGUAUAUAUUAACUUUUGCCGACAGAUUCACCAACAGAAUUAUUCCGUCUGUGAUUCUGUCGGCUAUUCCGAUGGUAAACAGGGCAUGUCACUGUACGGAGAUUUCAGAUUGAAUCCCUCGGUGAUUCCAUCGGCAUUUCAAAUGGUGAAUCAGUCACGUCAACGUACGGAGCUGCCGUUUUGAAUCCCUUGGUGAUUCCGUUGGUAAAAUCACCCGCAAAAACCUCCACGUCAGCGAACCGCUUUUUUUUUUUUAAUUCUGAAUAUUUCAUCCGUAAUUCCGUCGGCAAAUACCGACCGAAUGUGUCCAUCGGUAUAUACCAGCGGAAUUACGGACGGAAAAAAUUCCGUCGGUAAUGGUGACCUCAAAUUACCGAUAGAAGUAUUCCGUCGGUAAUGCCGUUGGUAUUAAGCGAAUUUCUGGUUGUGAAUACUCGCUUAAAUAUCCAUCGGGUAUUGUAUUUGCUCAUGCUUUUGUUGAAAUAUCUUUAUUUCUGAUAGGAACUAAAAAUUAAGUUAUCCAUCAUAGGAAAACAAAGGUAUUAAAUGAUAGUAAAACUAGAAUUGCAGGGAUCAAAUUAAAGUUUUUCAUGCCAAAAUCUAAACCGUGUUUAUUUUGUUUUUCUUUGUUAAAGUUAGCACCCCUUAUUUUAAUUUCUAUUUGCACCCCUUAUUUUAAUUCAUGCUCAAAUACUCAUAAUGCAUAUUGAAAGGAUUGAAAGCAAAAAAACCAUGUUAAUAUAACUAAAAAGGAUGAAAUUAUAAAGAAUAAAUGUUAUCGUCCUAUCUCUUUUAGUUAUUUCUAUAUUUUUUAAAAAAGAACAAAAGAAAACAAAAACAUUCUUUAAGCGAAGAUUCAAUUGACUAACGCUUAGUCAAAGUCUUCUUUGUAAAAAAAGAACCCAGGCUUUAAUAUCAAUAAAUGAAGGUCACACCAAUAAUUAAUGGUCAAGGAAGAUAUAUGCAAGAUAAUCUAGGAUUUUGAUUUUGAUUUUGACAUUAUUGUUGGUUUUCACAAAAACACAAAAUUUUUAAGCAUACCAAUGAUGUUGUAAGAUAAUCUAGGAUUUUUUAGAAUUUAAAAAAAAUUACUUAAAAAUUAGAUUUUUUUUUAAGAUUUGAUAAAUUUUUCAAAGCUAUAUUAUUAUAAAUCACAAAUUACUUAAUUAUUCGGUUUUUGUUUGGACUUUACUGUGAUGUUGCCAAAACACUUGCAUGCUAGUCUUUGUAUGUAUCAUCAUCAUCCACCGAAGUCCAAGUCUUUAAUAACUCACAAAAUAGGCUUCUACCACUCAUUAUUCGUCCUGAGGGGAUGCACAGUACGUCUCUGGCUCAAACUUGAAAAGGGUUAAAAUAUAUCCAAGUUUUUUAAAUAAUUUUUAUUAAAAAAUAUAUCAAAAUAAUAUAUUUUUUUUAUUUUAAAAAAAUUAUUGCAACAACUAUAAUCAAUCAGCAACAACCAGGAAAUUACCUUGAUCACACGCUGCUAAAGAAAUUUCCUAUAUAUGUUACGCUUCAUCUUUCAUAGUUAUUGCAUAUAUUGCUCUAAUAAUUUGCAAGAAAGCAUUUACAUUCUUUCUCCGAAACAAUAUUGCCUCUACUAUCCUUCAGUCCUGAUCAUUACUUUACUCUUCAGCUAACCCUUCUGAUUGCUGCAAUUUGAUCUUUAAAGUCGCCAGGUUGGUGGAAUCCGAUCAACUCAAACACCAUAUUGAGGUAACCUUUGCGAUGGUUGCUACUGUUUGCAUGCAUGCAUCUUAUAUAGAGUUAUUGUGAGCCCCGGAUUUUUAGCUAAAAUCUAAGUCCAAGUUAGUCUAAAUCUAACAUAAGUUAAUCUAGAUAUAUAUAAAAAAAUUGUAAGAGAAUUGUUUCUCUCAUUUAAUUCUUGUGGCUGUUUUAACCCCCAUCAAACUAAGAAUUUUAAUUUUUGAUCUUAAGUUUUUGAAUUCAAAAAAGAUAAAAAUAACAAGUAAAUAGUUCUUUCUCAUGUUAUUUUCAAUUAUAGUUUGUUUAUGGAAGGAUUAAAAAAGAGAUUAGAGUUUAUAAGGAUUUGAAAUUUAUAUUGUUAAGAUUGAUUUAUAAUUAUUAGGGGUUUAAUAAUAAGUCAUUGAUUUUGAGUAUGUUGUUAGAAAUAAGAAUUUAUGAAUUAAUUUGUUUAAAUGGAUUUUUAUGGGUUAAGAAUCUCAUUUCAACCUUGCUGGAAAAUCUGGACAAAAUGGUCUUGAGGUUGAAGAUGAUAAAAUUUUAUUUUGGUCUUUGAUUUAUAAAAAUUAUAGUUUAGUCCUUGAACUUUGGAAAAUUAUAAUUUAACCCCUGAUAUUUCUUUUGGAAUUCUGGGCAGUAUUAGUAUGAGGUCAAGGAUGAUGAAUCUCAGUUUGAUAAUUGAUUUGGAAUAUUUUCAGUUUGGUCCCUCAAUUUUGAGAAUUUAUAUUUUAGUCCCUGAACUUUAAAAGAAUUACAAUUUGGUCCCUGUUUUGUUCUGGGUAGAAUUGAGGGUUUAUGGAUGGAAUUUCAGUAUGGUUAUGUAUUUACAGUUUGGUCCUCUAAUUUUGGUAAAAUCACAUUUUGGUCCCUAUUUUGGAAAAUUGUCGUUUUAGUCCCUAAACUUAGGAGACUAAAUCAGCAACAACCGGGAAAUUACCUUGAUCACACGCUGCUAAAGAAAUUUCCAAGCUCCUUUUCCUAUAUACGAUACCCUUCAUCUUUGAGAAUUAUUGCUAAUAAUUUGCAAGAUGCAUUUAUAUUCUUUCUCCGGAACAAUAAUAUGGCCUUCAGUCCUCGUUUCUUUACUCUUCAGCUAACCUUUCUGAUUGCUGCAAUUUGAUCUUUGAAGUCACCAGGUUCGUGGAAUCCGAACAACUCAAACACCAUAGAAUUGAGGUAACCUUUGCGAUUGUUGCUGCUCAUUGCAUGCAUGCAUGUAGUUUUACAUGGGAUUUUAUGCUGCCAUGUUUUUUGCUUGUAACUCUUCUCUGCUUCUUUGAAACUACAAGUAAAUUCAUGGACUGACUUGGAAAUUAAUAACCGUUUUUGUUCAAUUCACUAUUUAACGUUCAAUUCCUUGUCAUUUACAAAGGAAUUUCCCUUGUUUUAGUCUUUACAGUAAUAUUAAUUGUUGCAUGACAGAAACAUUAACACUAAGAAGAUUGCCAGAGAAAAUAAUUGUUGCAUUGGAUCUUAUGUCCUCAUGUUUUUGCUGGUAACUAUAUGUAAAUUCAGAGACUGACUUGGGAGUUAAUAACAAAAAUUAAUAACCGUGUUUGGGUAGUUGAAAUAAAGUAUCGUCCCAGGAAUAGCCUUUCAGUUCUGAGACGUCAAACAAAGGCAGCUAGCUGGAAGCAGUAUUAAUUAAUCAGCUAACCUCUCUCCCAGAUUGCUGCAAUUUCAUAGCUUGUGUGGAAUCCAACAAACCCUUUGUUAAAUAGAGGUAUAGCUACCUCUUCUUUGCUUCUUUCUUGUUUUAAUUUCAUGUCUUUACUCAUAACAAUAAUUUGAAAGCUUUAUGUUCAGAUAAACAUCAUUGAUGAGUUUAUUGAGUUAAUUCCUUGCAUGUCUUCUAGAACAAGAUCAUUCUAUUUUAGAAUGCGGAAAGAAAAACGCAAACAAUCCAAAGAUGAAGAAAAUGAUUCAUCCUCGCGAAAGAGAAGAAAAGCUGACCUCAGUAAGCUUUUUAAAUGCUAUUGUUUUAUGCUCUCUGGUUGUUAAACUUGAAGUAUUAGGUGAAACUCAAUGAAUGGAUGAUUUUCUUACCUUACUCUCUAAUAGUACUUGCGUUGAAAUUCCUACUCAGCACAUUCAAAUGUAUUGUCUUUGAUGAUCACUUCACAUGUAUCCCUUACUAGUUAUAAUUGCAAGAUAGCAGAUACCUCCUGCAAUCGCUGCAUUGCUAAUUAAUUAAUCGUGCCUUAAUUUCUGCAGCUGCCAUGACAGAGCCAGAUUCUUCUCGAUCUAGACCACAAUGGGCCUAUGAUGUCUUUUUGAGUUUUAGAGGAAAAGAUACUCGCAAGACAUUUACAGAUCAUCUAUAUACUGCCUUGGUUCAAGCAGGAAUCCACACUUUUCGAGAUGAUGAUGAACUUCCUAGAGGAGAAGAAAUCUCCCAACAUCUCCUCGAGGCAAUUCAAGAAUCAAAGAUAUGUAUAGUGGUCUUCUCAAAAGGAUAUGCUUCUUCUAGAUGGUGUCUUGAUGAACUUGUGGAGAUUCUGAAGUGCAAAUAUAGGAAAACUGGUCAGAUUGCUCUUCCUAUAUUCUAUGACAUUGAUCCUUCAGAUGUGAGAAAACAGACUGGCAGUUUUGCAGAAGCAUUUGUUAAACAUGAAGAACGUUCUGAAGAGAAGGUGAAGGAGUGGAGAGAAGCUCUUGAAGAGGCAGGAAAUCUAUCUGGAUGGAAUCUCAAAGAUAUGACAAAUGGGUAUGCCUUUUCUCUAUAUGGAGUCAUUAUAUUAUAUAUUUAUAUAUGGAGUCAUUAUAUUAUAUAUUUUACAAUGUGAAACAAUAAAAUACUUUUUGAACAUACUUAAUUCUCUCGCUAUUAACUUGCUUUUGUCUAUGAACAGGCAUGAAGCAAAAUUUAUCCAACAUAUUAUCAAGGAAGUGUGGAAUAAAUUGUCUCCCAAGGACAUGAAUGUUGGUACUCACCCAGUAGGUAUUGAUCCCCUUGUCAACGAAAUCAGAGACUUCGUAAGUAAUGGAACAGAGAAGGUUUGCAUUGUGGGCAUACAUGGGAUGCCCGGAAUAGGAAAGACGACUAUAGCAAAAGAAGUAUUUGAUAAACUCUGCGAUGAAUUCGAGGGAAGCUCUUUUCUUUUGAAUGUCAAAGAAAAAUCAGAAUCUAAGGAUAUGGUUCUUUUACAGAAACAACUUCUUCAUGAUAUUUUAAGACAAAAUACUGAGAAGAUCAAUAAUGUUGAUAGAGGAAAGGUUCUGAUUAAAGAACGACUUCCGCACAAAAGAGUUCUUGUUGUUGUUGACGAUGUGGCUCGUCCAGACCAACUACUUGAUUUGAUGGGAGAGCCAAGUUGGUUAGGCCCUGGAAGUAGGGUAAUAAUUACAACUAGAGAUGAAAGCUUACUUCUUGAAGCUGAUCAAAGAUACCAGGUUCAAGAGUUGAACCGGGAUAACUCCCUUCAGCUUUUCUGUAGGCAUGCGUUUAGGGACACCAAGCCAGCAAAAGAUUAUGUUGAGCUUUCGAAUGAUGUAGUUGAAUACUGUGGAGGACUUCCUUUAGCUCUUAAGGUUUUAGGUUCUUGUUUGUAUGGGAAAAACCAAGCUAGAUGGGAAUCUGUAAUUGACAGAUUGAGAAAAUUUCCAAACAGUGAAAUUCAGAAAAAACUUAGAAUAAGUUUUGACACACUGGAUGAAUCUACACUAAAGAAUACAUUUCUUGAUAUUGCAUGCUUCUUUAUUGGUAGAAAGAAAGAAUACGUAGCAAAAGUGCUAGAAGGACGUUAUGGUUACAAUCCAGAAGAUGAUUUCGGAACUCUCAUUGAACGGUCUCUGAUUAAAGUUGAUGAUUCUGGAACGAUAGGCAUGCAUGAUCUAUUACGAGGGAUGGGAAGGGAGAUCGUUAAGGAAGAGUCACCUGAAAAUCCUGCGCAAAGGAGCAGAAUUUGGAGUCAAGAGGAUGCGUGGAUAGUACUCAAGAUGCAGAUGGUAAGCACUCAAUGCAUACAGAAAAGCACAUUCAUUUGUAUCUUUAUUGUCAAACUUAUUACAAACAAUCAUAUGAAAGUUCUAUUGAUUUUGUUUUCUUUUUUAGGGAACAGAAGUUGUAAAGGGCCUUACACUGGAUGUGAGAAGAUCAGAAGACAAAUCACUAAGCACUGGAUCAUUUACAAAAAUGAAAUUGUUAAAAUUACUCCAAAUCAAUGGCGUAGAACUCACCGGGUCUUUCGAACGGCUUUCUAAAGUGUUGACGUGGAUUUGUUGGCUUGAAUGUCCUUUGGAAUUUUUGCCAUCCGAUUUUACACUAGACUACCUAGUUGUUAUUGAUAUGCGGUACAGUAACAUCAGAGAACUAUGGAAGGAAAAAAAGGUACAGAAGAUAUCAAAAUGUCCAAAAAUUUAUCUGUUAUGUAAUUUAUAUUUACAAGUUACAACUUUUGAUGAUUACUUCUUUAUUAUUUUCCUCAUUGUCCUGACAGAUUCUCAACAAACUAAAGAUUCUUGAUCUCAGUUAUUCAAAAAACCUUGUUAAAACACCAAACAUGCACAGUUUAAAUUUAGAGAAACUACUGCUUGAAGGUUGCUCAAGUUUAGUUGAGAUACAUCAAUGUAUUGGACAUUCAAAGUCUCUUGUAAGUUUGAAUAUUUCGGGAUGUUCACAACUUCAGAAGCUGCCAGAGUGCAUGGGUGAUAUUGAGUGCUUCACUGAGCUUCUAGCAGAUGGAAUUAACAACGAGCAAUUUCUCUCUUCAGUUGAACAUUUGAGGUGCGUGAGGAAGUUGUCAUUGCGCGGACACUGGGACUGGAACUGGAACUUACCAUAUUGGCCUUCACCAAAUUCUUCUUGGAUUCCAGCUUUUCUGCUAACUCCAACUUCCACUAUUUGGAGAUUAUUGGGAAAGCUAAAACUUGGUUAUGGUUUGUCUGAACGGGCAACUAAUUCUGUUGAUUUUGGAGGUUUAUCCUCUCUCGAAGAAUUGGAUUUAUCAGGAAACAAUUUCUUCAGCCUGCCUUCUGGCAUUGGCAUCCUUUCUAAGCUGCGGCUUUUGACCGUUCAGGAAUGCCGAAAUCUUGUAUCAAUCCCAGAGCUCCCCUCAAAUUUAGAACAUUUGGAUGCAUUUGGUUGCCAAUCAAUGCAAUGGGUAAGACUAACAAUCCAAGCAAAAAAAAAUCUAAAUCUGGAUCUGUUUUGUUGUCCGGAUUUAAUAGAGAUUCAAGGCAUGGAAGGUCUAAGUAAUCAUGGCUGGAUUAUUUCCCAAGUUACCAAGAGCAAGUUAUCAAAUAAUUAUAAGAAAAGUCUUGUUGAGGUACUACUUCUGUCUCUCUUGCACACAAAUAAGCACACAAUGGGCACAUACUAAAUAUUCAUGAAUUAAUUGAUGUCAAAUAUUCAGCAUUCCUUGAAAUCAAUAUAUAUACAGGCAUUGUGCUAUGGUGGUUACGGGUAUCAUAUUCUCUUCAAUCAUUGUUAUACGUUCAGCCACAGAGAUAAGUUCACUAUGAUUCCAAAUUGGUUCAGCUACAGUGGAAAAGGAACUUCAUUAUCAUUUCAUAUACCUCCAGUUUUCCAAGGCUUGGUCGUUGGGGUUGCCUGUCAAUGCUUGUUAGGUCAUUUUGAAACUGCCAAAUUGGGUAUAAAAAAUAAAAGCAACGGUAUUCAAUUGUUUGAAGCAAAGGUAUGCGAUUUUGCCAGUAGAAAUUGGGUGAGAUACAUAAGUAUAAGUGAGAUGGCAAUGAAAGAAUAUUCUGGAGAUGAGGGAUUGGAACUGUUCGUGGAAGUUCGGGACAAAUUCCUGGAGAUGAUAGAAUACGCUGAAGUGUUUGAAUGUGGGAUACAUGUGAUAGUUGAAAAGACAGAUUCAUUUGAAGGGUCAGAGUGGGAUCAUGAGUCUGAAGUUGGAAGAGAUAGAGUAAUACCUGCACCGCCAUAUCUGUCUCAAAAUGCGCUGUACAAUUCCAUUGAGAUUGACGGCAAGCAAGGUCAGAGUAAUUUAUCAAAAUAUGCAGAGGAUCGGCUUCUUGAGGUACUAUUUCUGUCUCUCUUGCACGGAAUUGGCGCGCACACAUAUAUAUAGCAUGCAUAUAUGUGUAUAUAUAUAUUAAUCAGAGUCUAAAAUCUCAGCAUUCCUUGAAUUCAAUAUUUAUGCAGAGAAUCUUCGAUUAUCAUUAUCUUAGACCCUUCGAUUAUUCGAUGAUUCCAAAAUGUUUCCGCUACCGUGGAGAAGGAUGUUCAUUAUCAUUUCGUAUACCUCUAGUUUUCGAAGGCUUGGUCAUUUGGGCUGUCUGUUCAGGUGGUGGGCGUCAAGAAUUCAAGGCUAUUAUAAAAAAUAAAAGCAACGGUAUUCAAUUGUUCGAAGCUACUCAUGCAAGACCCUAUUUCCGUAGUAGGUGGGUAAGAUUCAUAAGUAAACGUGAGAUGGCAAUGGAAAAAUAUUGUGG